rnacentral:lncRNA from 1 species
UGAAUGUGCCACAUUUACAAUUUCGACUAUUUGCCUAAAUAUGUGCAAACAUUCAAAUUCAUCAACAGACCGUUCUGGUUUGUUCAACCAAUGCCUCAAGCUAACAUCGUUCCACUCCAUGUUUUGGACAAAAUGGUCAACUGCAGCUUCAUCCUCACAAACCCCAGAUAAAGUACCAGCCUGGUUUUUUAGGUUUUGACGAGCCAGAACAACCCUAUCAGUCUCCUUUCUAAACCCAGAGUUGUAAGAUGCGGAUCUUAGAUUCCUGUUGGUGACUACUGAAGUAUUAAAUCCCCUAUAACUACCAGACUUCUGCCAAGCAGACUCAGAUGAGCCCUCCAUGGUUACCCCCCUUGGGCUGCAUGUAAGCCAGAACAAACGCAUCCAAGAAAUGGAGGAAUUCGCCUGCUACUACCACAUUCGCUAACUUCCACCAUUACCAUCUUCAAUCAAUACCUUAUUUCACAGAAAUAGCAAAAAGAACCUUGCUUCUGAUCAAGCCAAAGCUCAAUAACUCAGCUCCUCGAAUAAAAAUACUAACCCUUGCAGGGCAGCGGACACUAGAAAAUAAGAUGAAAUCUUUUAGCAAGCACACUUCUCCUGAGACAACCGCAACCAGCCUAACAUCAAUAAACCAAUAAGAAAAUUUAAAAAAAGUAGAGAAAAAUCAACACUUACAUUAUACCACACACAUUUUUCCUUUCCUUUCUUCAUCCACCGGAAUUAUAAAACUAAGUCCUCACACGUGCACUGUUCAACACCAAAACAACACAAGCACCAGCACAAAAAAAAAAAUCAAAGACAAGUACAAUAAUAUCCAGAAAAGGAGAGAAACUGAAGAUACCCUUUUUACAAUAUAGAAUUAGAAACACGUACCCAGAGGUUUCAUCAAAAAAACAACACAUGCAUCAGAACCAACAAAAGCCCACACACAAUAAUAUUAUAUACAGCCAUUUAAAAGAAGAGCUAGAGAGAAGGAGGGAGGGAUAAGUACCUGUAGCAGCACCAAGAAUGGAUAUUUCUGAUCCUGCUAGACCAAAAGAGAACCACACAACACAACAAGACUUUAGUUACUACACUCCACUAAACACUACAGCCUCAUAAAUUCCCUCAUUUUUCCCUCACAACUUCAAAAAUAAAAUCAAACAAAACCCCUCCACAAAAGAAAAAAUCAACAUGUUUCAAAUAAAAAAAGGAAAAAAAUACCUCUCUCUCUCUCUCUCUCUCUCAUGCUCUGUUUCACUCUAUAUAUUAUAUAGUUCUUCAUGAAAUUAUUAUGAUAUUCUUUCUUUUUUAAGCCACAAGCUCAUGGUUCGCUCUUUGGCUCAUCUCCCCGCUUUAUUCCAUUUGAGUUACGUGGCACCACCAUAGCCUCAACCUUGUUUGUUUAUUUCUUUGCAAAGAAGCCAAAAGGGAUGGUAAAUUUGAAAACUUUGUGGGCCAUCAGUGCCAAAAAAAAAAAAAAACUGUUCUUGAUGAAAAUAAAGAUCUUGGCUUUCUAGAAUUGGAAACUCAAGGUGAGAACAUGAAAAGCAAAUAAGAGCAUGCCUUACAGGUGUGAAUCAUUAAACUAAUCUGAUGAUGUGAUUCUUGUUAGAACAGCACGUAAGAAACAAUUAAGAAUACUAUAGUGGGCAGUUCUUGUUUCUUUAAUCCGAUUAGUGACACUAAAAAUAAUAUUUUACAAGAAACACUCACAUGAUAAAAAAGAAGCUAAUAAACUAUUGAUUAAUGUAAUGAAGCACAAACAAUGAAGCUAAAAAAAACAAAUAAUGGUGAUAAAAUCAACCUUAAAAUGUGGGUUUGAGUUUUGUGGGGCCCGGGCAUAAAAGUAUACAAGGAAGGAAGGGAAGAGGAUAAUAAUAAUAAUAAUUAAGGAUUGAUAAGAGAGGAUGUGGACUAGUGUCAGGUAGGACUAAUUAUUUUUGGUUUGGUUCGGUUUUUAUCUAUAAAAAUCAAUCAAAUCAUAAAAAAAUAGACCUGGAAUCAAACCGAAACCGGCCCAAACCGACCGGUUUCGAUUUGAUUUUUGCUAGCCAAAACCAAAAAACCUAUGUUAUUUUUUGGCUUUGUAAUGAGCUUCGUAAUUGGUUUUUAACGGAUUUCUGAUGGGCUUGCAAUUAAUGUUGAUAUUGUCUAAUUUUCAUUGAAGAUUCAAAAGCAUAUUUAAUUUUUUUACCACUAAAUAUUAAUUUGUAUUAAAUUGUUAUUGUCAAUCUUAUGUAUAUUGAGUUUUUUUACCACUGAAUAUUCAUUUAUAUGAAAUUAUUAAUGUCAAUCUUGUGUUCAAUAUAUUUUUUACCUUCCUAAUAUUUUUAUGCUUCUGAAAAGUUUAAAUAACACACUCACAAUCACACACCAAUAAGUUAAAAUUCAAAUUACAAAUCAUUGCCUUUAAAGGGCUUAAAGAAAAAAUAACAAAUAAAACUAUCAUAAAACACUCCAAGCCAAAAAAAAAAAAAUCUUCAUUUGCACAUCGUCUCAAUAAAAAAAAACUUCAAGACCAUUGCAUUUUGAUUCCUGAAAUUCAUAAUCUAGAAUUAUAACAUGAUAAAUUAAAUUAGAAAAUAAAAAAAAUAAUAUUUUUACCAUAUGUUUUCAAUAAAUGCAUCACAAUUUGUGAACUAAUUAUCAUCCGUUGCUAGAUGUAACUUUCCAUCAAAUUCUACAAAAUAAAAAAUUAAACAUGUUAGAAUAAAAAUGUGUUAAUUAUUAAUAAAUCAUAAAACAAAAGAUGUAAGUUUUUAAAAAACAUUACCUGAUCCAAGGUUUUUGUAGGUUUCAAAAUCAUUCAUCAAGGUUGUAUUAUCAAUUGGAAUUGGACCAUGAUGCAACCAAUUUUGACAACAAAUAAGUGUUUGAACUGUUGCUAGAGAUAGAGAACUUCGAAAUUGGUUGAGUAUACGACCACCUGUGCUAAAGGCUGAUUUAGAAGCCACUAUGGAUAUAAAAAUAGCCAGAACAUGUUGUGCAACUUUUGAAAGUAUCUUAUAUUUUGAAGAAACAUUAAUCUUCCACUAACCUAAAAUAUCUAAUUUAUCAUUAUUAGGAUCCUCACAACCAUCAACCAAAUACGUCUCAACCUCAUUUCUAUUUUUCACACUAUCUUCCUCCUGUAAGUGCCUUUUGAAUCGAGGUAAAGUGUUAACAUCUACCUCCACAUCAUCAAUAGCAUCAUUAACAUCUUAUUUAUGCCUAUUAUCAUCCACCACUUCAUCAGCUUUCAAAUAAAACUCAUACAAGCUCACCAAAUUAUCUUUCAUUUUUUUUUGUUAGCAAUUGUGCUUUGUUAUAAUCAUACAACUCACCAAAAAAAAAUUUCACAUAUGUUAACUUAAGACGUGGAUCCAAAACAUUAGCCACAUACAAUAAAAAAUUUUGAUUUGCUUCACAACCCCAAUACUUCUCAAACUUACUCAUCAUGUUCAUCGUCAUUCCACUCAAAAGAUUAUCUCUACUUUUACAUAAUUGCAACAAGUUUGUAUGCAUGUAAAUCAAUUCAUUGAAGAAUGAAUUUGAUGUGACAUGCAAUGAGCCAGAAAAUUUCAAUGUAAUCAUGUAAAAGAUCUUUAAAAACUUCAGCAAAGUUCUAACAUUUUUCCAAUCCUCCAAACUAGGUGGUCCUAUGUUUUUUUUAUUCUCCUUUGAAUCAACCUCCAAAAAGUAACUCAUAUACAUAGGUUCACUUUGACCUAACCUCACAAACACCUUUUCAAACUUUUCAGCAGCUUCUAGCAUAAGAUAAGUUGAAUUCCAUCGAGUUGCAACAUCCAAAUACAAUGAUUUCUUACACUCUAUAUGCAACUUUUCUGCACACUUCUUAAAUGCAAGUAGCCUAGAAGAUAAAGAUCUCACAAACCUAAUUGCAUUUCGAAUCUUAACAACCAAAACAUCAAUCUCUUUCAAACCAUCACACACAAUGAGGUUUACAAUGUGUGCACAACAUCUAACAUGCAAAUGUUCAUUUGACAAUAUAUUAGUUAGCCAAUCUUUCAUCACAUUCUUUAAAUAUAAAAUAGUAACACUAUUAGAGCUUACAUUGUCUACUGUAACAGUUAAAAGUUUAUCAAUCCCCCAAUCUAACAAACAAUUCUCAAUAACUUGACCAAUUGUUUCACUCAUAUGAUUGGAAACUUGACAAAAAUUCAGAAUUUUUUUAUGCAAAUUCCACUCACUAUCAAUCCAAUGAGUCGUUAAGGACAUAUAGUUAAUGUUUUGGAUUGAUGUCCAUGUAUAUGUUGUUAAGCAUAAUCGUUGACCCUUAAGAGCUCUCUUUAAUCUUUCCUUCUCUUCAACAUAAAGUUUUAAAUAAUCUCUCAUAAUAGUGAAACGAGAAGGAAUGUCAAAUCUAGGCUGCAAGGUCCUAAAAAAUAAUCUAAAUCCCUUACCCUCAACAAAAUUAAAAGGCAACUCAUCAAUUAUAACCAUUUUUACUAGUGCAUGUCUACAUUUAUCAUAAUCAUAACCUAUUGCCUUAAGAGUUCCCACACUUCGAUCUCCUGAUUCACCCCCCGCUUUAUUAGGUUCUAAUACCAAAAGUUUUUGCUUCUUAUCAACCACAAAAGGAAACUUUUUGUAUACUUUUAAAUGACUCCGCAUAUUACUUGUCCCAUUAAUAAUAGUAUGACAUGCAUAACCCUUUUCACAAUAAUUACAUUCAGCUCUAGGGAUUGUAGGAUCACCAUCAAGUUUGGUAAAAUGAUAUGCUUGGCAAUCAGACUAUAGUUUACCUCACCCCCACUCCCAUCAAAAUUCAAAUGAGAAGCAUGUUAUUCUGCAUAUGAUCUGCUUGGAAAACCGUAAAUAGAAGUGUUACCCCUGUUCAGGGAGCUAUUGCUACAUCAUACAACAUGUUUACUAUUUGCUAAGGAGCUUCACCAUUUAAAAAAAAAACAGUAAAACCUAUAUCAUCCAUUCAUUUCAGAAGCAGUGGAAUGGUAAGUGAUAUUAUCACACUACAAACCAGAACUAGGGCAUAAAACCAACACAGAUAAACAUAAAAAGGAAAUCUCAAAACUGAUAAAAAAAAUACUAAAUGAAUAACAUAAAAAAAAGCUGACCAAAAACUGGUAGAUGAUAUGGAAAAUGGAAAUGCAAGUUUUAGCUGCUAGAUUUCUAUGUUAUACUUAUUUCAGGUUUUAACUUAUAAUCAUAGGUUCUUUAGACAGCAGGUACAAAUUGUCGAAAAAGGUGUUUGACUCAUUUUUUAUUUUCUAUCAAUUCUUAAAAUUUGUGUCCAAGCUAAUUGACAGCUUCUGUAGAGCUUAUUUGAGUUAUUUUUGUUUUCAUUUUUUGCAGAUUAUGUUUUAUGAAGCCUUGAAAGAUUUGGCAGGUUAUCUUAAAGACUUAAACAUCAUUUUUCUUGUGAUGAAACUAAUUUCGUUCACAGAAUCACAGUAAUAAUAGCCAUGAGGAGACACAACACUAAGCAGGCAUGAAUAAACAUUGAACAUAAAAAAAAACCAAUACUAAAUACGGAUGAUUAUACACUAUCAAUAAUUAAAUAGAAAUUCCUAACAAAUUAGUAAAGCAAUUUGAUAAUCAGUAAUUUCAACAAUUUUUUUUUUCUAACAAUAUUGAAUCAAAGAAGGUCAGUAAUCAGUAUCCAAAUUAACUUGAAUAAUCUAAAAAACACAUGAAUAAAUUCUGACAUAUAUGAAACAACAAGCAGAAUGCCUUCAACAGAAUCAGCACAACAACUGUAUCCUUAUUCUUUGACCUCUACAUUGAAAAAAAAAACAAAUACAAUAAAUUAAAUAGAUGAUAAACAGAUAAAUCUAGGCAAAAUAUGAGCAGCCAUUAGUUAAUUAAUUAAAACGGAAAAAACAAAAUUAAAACUCACUGCUAUAGAACUUAUUCGGUUUCGGAGUAAUGGAGAUUGUGGAGUACCAUGUGAUAUUGUGUAGAUGAAGAGGAACGUCAAUCUAUUUAUGAGAGGCUUGACUGGUUUCAAAUGAUGGAAACACAAACUAUUUUGGAUCUGUGUAACCGUGUUUCUAUUUUCUAAGUCUAAAGAGACUAAAAAGGGAGAGGCGAGAGGGUGCGGGUGCUCUGGUUAGGGUUAGUGGCCAGGGAGAGGGGAGACGGUGAGGGCGAGGGAGAGUGUUACUAUGUUAGGGAAUUAGGGUUAGCGGAGAGAGGCGAGAGUGGCAUCGUUUUCUAUUUAUAUCGUCAACACAAAACACUGGUUAGAGACCUUUUUUUGAACCGGUUCGGUUCGGUCCGGGUUAACCGAUUCCUGCAUUACAAAACCGAACCGAAUCGGGAUUUUUUCUAACUAUUCUAAUCGGUUUAAUCAGUUUUUUUUCUCGGUUCGGUUUUUUUUUGCUCGGUUUAUUCGAUUUUCUGUUUUUUUUGCACACCUCUAGUGUCAGGUAAUCUAAAAGGAUGUUCGGCGCAGUUUUUGUUUUUAAAUGUUUUUAAAAAAACAAUUUAUUCAAAAAAAUAUUAAAUUAAUAUUUUUUAAUGUAUUAAUAAAAAAAUAAAAAUAAAAAUAUUUUAAUAAAUUUUCAAAAUAAAAUUAUUUUAAAAAAUACAUUACAUACCCAUCUCAAUUUGAUGUAAAAUUAGGAGCAAGCGAUUUUUUUAUUUUUUUUUUCAAUGUAAAAUUAGGAGCAUGCGAUCCUUCCUCAUAACAAUUAACAGUGGUAAUGUUUGUGGUCCCUACAUCUGGCGGCUAUUAGCACGAUACUAACCAAGUACUCGAAUUCGCUGCUGGGAGGAUUCCAUUCCAAUAACAUGCAAACAUUAUGAAUGCAUUUUCUAGAAUAAUUAAAAAAACAAAUUAGAAAUUAAGAAGUUAAUAUAUGCGACGAAUCACUUUUUUAUCGGUAUAUUUUUAUUAAAAAAUUUCGGAUAAAAAAUAAUUACAAAUAUAAUUUUUUAGGAAAACAAAGCUUGGCAUAAAUAAAUUCAGGAAAAAAGUUAUCAAUGUGAAAAUAAAAUUAAGAAGAAAAGUUAUAAUUAUAAUUGUUAAUAUAAAUUCAUUUUUUUUCUAUUAAUGCAUUUUUAAAAAAAUAUUUUUUUUUUGUUAUAUAUAUAUUGUUUAUUGCAUACAAACUGCAAGCAAUUAAAUUCAAUAUUUAAAAAAUAUUAAUGAUUUAAAAAAAUAUAUUAAAAAAAAUCUUUUUAAUAUUGCAUGGAAAGUGAAAGCAAUUAAAUUCAAUAUUUAAAAAAAAAUAUUUUAAUCAAAAUCUCUUUCCAUUAAAAGAUUUAAUGAUUUAAAAAAAAGACUUCUUUUUUACAAAUUUUUUUUAUAAGAAGUAAUGUUUUUUAAAUAAGAACUUAUUAUAAUCUUAAUAAUAAGUGUUAAUAAAAAAUAAUAAAUUUAUAAUUUUGACAUGAAUGUAUUAAAAAAUAAUAAUAAUAAUAAUAAUAAUAACAAACUUGAAAACAUAUAUAAAACAAAUAGAUAUUUCAUUUAUAUUUAGAAAAUCAUGCACAUUAAAUUUAUAUAUAAUUAUUCUGAGAUAAAUUAUUAAUAUUAUAAUAUAAUAUACUAAUAUUAUUUGAAAAUAAUGAUAUAAUUGGAUUAUUAUUUAAACAUCAUUUAAAUAAAUUUAUUUUAAAAUAAUCUAAUUAUAAAAUGCUAAAAGAGAUAAAAAAAAUACAAGGCUAAGCAAGCACGGGCUAGAAGAAUAAGCCUACAUGUUCGGCCUACAUGAAAACCUAUAGGUUCUGGGGUCUAGAAACUCAAGUUCGCAUGUCUGAUUUUUCUAAAAAAAAACACGAUGUUCACUUUUAUUUUUAAAAAAUUAGACAAAAAAUAUGUUUUUUGACAGUCAAAUUACACAUUAUUUGUCUACUAUUUUUUCUAGUCAUAAAAAAUGUCUUCGUGAUUGAAAAAUUAGGAUUCAAAAACUUGAACCCCAAAAACCUAGAAUCCAACCAUUUUCCAUCCAAAAAUAUAAAGAAAAAAAAACAUUUAAUGAACCUCCAUUACCUCGAUUUUAAUAAUAAAAUAUAUUUUAAUUAGUUUAAAAAUUCUAAAUUAAAUCAAAUUAAAAAAAAAAAACUCAUGCACUGAAAAUGGCCACGCUUCUUAGGGUUUGGACUAGGAUUUGAGACUCAUGGUUUCUUGUUGGUCCACUUUGAGUAUGAGUUCUCAUAUUUUGUAGCUUCCCUUCCCUUGAACAUUCAUUCUUGGUAAAACAUGUCAUGAAUUUAUAUAAUAAAAACAAUUUUUAUUUUUUAUUUUAUUUUUUAUCUGUCACGUAACUAAGUUUCAUCCUCUUUCUCGUCUCGUCCGUUCACCAAACGCCUCCAUGGUUAUUUCCAUGAUCAAUAAUCCAUUGUCUUUUAAACAACCAUUAAUUUUAUUUGUGGUGGGCAGUUACUGCUAAACAUUCAGUGAACUUGAAAUGUGUUUUCAAGUUUAAGUUUAUUUAGGCCGUCUCUGGACCACUGGUCCACCUUCCUAAAUAUAGACCAAAUUAACAUGAUGUGAAGAACAGAUCCCAUUGUGAACAUGAUAAUCAAAUCCACUUUGAAGGUCCCCCUCAAAGUUUUGUGAUUUUCGAUAAGAUUCCCAGUAGAUGCACAGAAACCCAGAAACCCACAUACAUUUCAUCAAGAAAUACCUUAGAAAGGUCUAGAGGAACAUUAAUCAGUGGCCUCACUGUGUGUGUGUGUGAAGGAGCCAUGGUUACGCUCAACUCUUGGAAAGACCAAUUAGUCUUGCUUCGAUCGUUCUUUGCAUAAGACCAAUAUCCGGCUUCCUUGGCAACCAAAGAAGAGAGUGCGCGUUCAUGACAUGUUUAUCAUUAAUAUCAUUGAAUUCUUGAACGUCGAAUUCAAUGCCUAAAACAUGGUUGUUGGGGGUAACCAUCAUUGGUGCUGUUCAAGAAACCAAGAUGCCGUUGUCAAGAGGCACCUUCAAUACCUAGAGAAGGCACGAGAAUGAAUGCAAAACCAUGACCAGGGGGGGAAUUGUUGUAAGGGGUGAUGGAGAAGGUGAAAGAGGACGAGAAUGACAGGAGCUUUGAGGAGUUCGGGUAUCUUAUGGGAAUCCUUGUAGAGGCCUCUACCACCAGAAAAUGUGAUGUCUCCGGUGAGGGAAAGCGUGCCAGAUUGUAGCUCUGCAGUGCCAUAAAGUAACAAGCUCGAAGAGCUGAAACUGUAACUCGACUGCUAUUGUAAAUUGGAGAAAGGAGUUAUUUAAGAAGAAUAGUAGCACAUGGUGGAGCCCGAAGCUUCAAGAACUGGGUUCGUUACUGUCAAGUGCCAUCCAUCACCGGUCUUGUAAUUGCAACUUAGUGCAUGCACCUCCUUGUUUUGGAAGGAUAAUAACGCACUCAGCAGAUACUCUACAUCUUGGGUAUGGUGGAUGCAACAUUUGUCUUUCCACACCGUGGAAUAAUUUCACAUCAUCCAGAUACUCUACAUCUUAUGGCUAAUACAAAUGCUCUCCAAGAAUGGUCAAUAAUUUUGAGAUUGCAGUGAUAGUGGAAAGUAAAUACAUGUGAUAAAUUGCAGAGGGGAGAUUUAUCAGUGAGCUAUAAUCUUGUAGCUAAAAUGGCCACUAGCUAUCUUUCUAAGAACAUAUACAAAAACCCCAACCAACGGUUUUUAACUCAUAUUUCACAUAAGGAAACCACCAAUCAAAUUACUCUUAAGAGUCCCAGCAAUACUUCUCAUGUGGGGCUUACCUCAUCGACCUGAAACAAAUAAUGAAUUGGCUGAUAUUUGGUAGCUUUCAGCCUGGACUUUUCUAACCCUUGCCUUGUCAAAGCGUGCUCGUCUAACAGCUUCUUGGAUCUGGCGAUCAUGAUCCUUCAGCAUCUGAUCCAUGUUCCCCGAUGGAACUAUCAAUGGACCAGAAUAGUGGAUUUUGUGAGCCUUUGACCCAUAGCCAAGCUGGAUCCAAAUUAACAAGAACCAUGAAUCAGGAAACACACAAAAAAAAGGCUCCUCAGAAUUCAGGAAACAUGAAAUUGUAAAUCAAUCAACUUAGAAAAGACGGUUUAUAAACAACUUGCAUGAUAUGAUGCAGACCAGGACAAAGCAGCCAAGUGGUUAAAAAAUUCACUGAAAGGUUAAGCAAAAAAGCAAAAAAAAAUAAACAAACAACGAAAUAAAAGAAAACUGAAUUGUGAAGUGACUUACAAGGACAGGAUCUUUACUGUUAUUUCUCCCAUCUUCCUUUUGGUGGGAACCUGCAACACCCUGUGACAGACGCUGUGGAUCCUGUUGGGCAAAGGAUUCUGAGGUUUCCUUGAAGGAUCCUGGAAACCGUGCCAUUAGUUUUGGAACUUCCGGUUGUGAUAGGCCAGACCUUUCUCUGUGAUCUUCAGAUAAUAAACUCCUCCGCGCCGCCUCUAAGCUUGAAAUUGUUGACAGGUCAGCCCCCGUGUAAAUCUUAGGAGCAUCAUCGGGGUUUCUGCCAGCCUUUGCCCAUCCAGAACGGUGAGACAGUGGCCCAGAAUGUGAGGCUCUCUUAUGCUGAUGACCCUGAGGAUCCAUGUUUGAUUCUGCAGCUUGUGAUGGUCUAGGGGGAUCAAUUGGAAAGCCAGAAGCAACUUCCUCAGGAUGGGGAUUAAACUUCUCACUCCGGCUCUUGGAAUUUGGACGACCAUGUCUUUUCUGUAAUUAGAGCGCAAUCCAUUGAUAUAAAUUUCAUUAGUAAAAUCAAAUUUAAUCAAAUGGAGUGCCAAAAAAUAAAGGGAGUCAACAGUAAAAGAGAUAAUUCAUGAAAAUAGAACAGCAAGAAACAAUCAAUUGUUUAGGUAAUAAUGCUUAAAAGAGGGCUGGAGCAGCUCAAAAGGACAGUAGUCAGAUGUAGUUUGAUAAAAAAAAAAAGUAUGACUUGCUGCUUUCAAGGCAUAAGGAAGAUGGAGAGUGCGAGAGAGAGGACAAAAGAAAGAAACUAGAUAAGAUUUCUUGUGUCUCACAAAGUGCCUUUUGUACAAAGCUGUUUUCUGUAGUGGAGAAUUGCAAUUUCCAUGUGAUCAGAAUGGCAAGAUGGCACAUUACUUUAUACUUCAUUGUUCUGAGAAGAGUGCAAUAAGAAGUGUUCUAAGACUUCGUGUUAUGACUGGCUUGUUUACUAGUUUCAUCUAUAACAGAGCUAGCUUUAAAAAUAACUUCCUUUCUCUUCUGACCAAUCUUUCAACUCAGCAAUUCUCUGAACCUCACCACAUGGCCCAGCAAGCCUACAUACCCAUCUCCUAAUCACAAUACUUCCCCAACCGCACACACACACAUGCAAAAAAGUGUCCUGAGAGAGCUAAGGUUAUCUUAAAGAAAUCACCUGCAUUGAUAAAACUAGCUCAGCAUUGGCAUCAGGUGCUGGAACAGCUCGAGAUUCUCUUUGCCCUCUUCUUUCCAUGUCAGGUUUCUGGCCCUUGCUUCCUGCUGCUCCUUGUCUGUUUGUGUGAACAAAAAAUGGGAUUGUUAGCAAACUACACUACAUUUACAAGUCAAGGAUUCCAUCAGUGAUAGAAGCACGAAGGAUAGUUUAGUGGAUCAGUAAGAAACACACAAUAAGCAAUAUGAGCAAGGGCACUAAGGCAACUGUCACAACCAAAAUACAAAAUUAUGUAAACAGACACUGCAUUCAUCUGAUUCAAAUUGAUUCCUACUUCAACUAUUUUUUCUCUUUUCUCAACUAGUGCACGCAACUUCUAUAUUUUAACAAUGCCAUUAACUGCGGCCAACAUGCCAAAAACGAAAUCUUUUAAAGCUUUUUUUCCGGGCCUUUGCCAGAAGCCUUCCAACAAAAGAUUAAAUGAACAAUAAAUUGGAGAAAAACUUUUUUUCUGUUCUUUUACAAUGUUUACCUUCUAGCUUCUUCAUCUCGCAUUUUUGCAUCAAACUCUUUGCUAGGAGGAUAAUCAGGCAAACUUGAAGGAUCACAAGGAAGCGGCUUGGUCGUAAAGAACUUUAAACAAAACUAAACAAGUCAAAUACAAAUUAACAGAAAGCAAGAGAGAGAAUUGUAAAAUAGAACUAUAAAUACUAGAGCCAACCUCAGCCAGCCAUGAAGAUUAUACUCAUCUUAUGAUUUAUUUAUUUGUCUAAAAAGAAAAGGUUAAAUGAACACUUGCUACCAACUGCUUUGGACCAAUAUGUUACAUUAAAUGGAUGGUAUUUCUCCAAAAUUAUGUUAAGAUUACAAAAAAAAUAGCUGUGCUGCAUAAGAAGCUAUAAUAUCAAAUAAGGAACUCAAAAAUAAAAAUAUACGAUCAGUUACCAGAGCUACAUCAAAAAGGUUGACAAAUUGCAUGGUGAAAAGAAAACACAAAAAGAACAUACACACUCUUGUACAAGAUGCAGUUUUUUUUUCAAAGAACAUGUUACAUAGAAGGAAGCAUAGGGAAAUGAAGGACGGUUCUCUUUUAAUUGAUCACAGAAAAAAGAAGACAUACACAAAAAGAAGAAAUAACAUAUAUAAGAAAACAUACACAGAAAGAAAACAUCACAGAAAAAAUAAAUAUAUAAGAUCAGUUAACUGAGCUACGUCAAAAAGGUUGACAAAUAGCAAGGUGAAAAGAAAACACAAAAAGAACAUGCACACUCUUGUAUAAGAUGCAAUUUUUUUUUUCAAAGAGCAUGUUACAUAGAAGGAAGCAUAGGGAAAUGAAGGACAGUUCUCUUUUAAUUGAUCACAGAAAAAAGAAAACACUCAUCAACCACCAACUAAAAUUCAAAACUGUUCAUGGUUGUCGAAAAUUCACAAACUAAAUGUGAUACACCAAAAUAUACAAAGUGCAUAAAAGAGUGAAAUUGUAGGAGUCUUCGAGUGAGAUCAAGGGACAGAAAAUAAAUCCUAAAAGCAACACAGCAUUUGGCGACAGAUUAUUGAUGAAAACUCAACCCCGUAUAGUUGCAGGCUAGCAGUGACAAAAUGUGAUUAACAGAAACACAAUCACCAUUGAGAAAACUGGGCUUGGGUGCUUUUGUGAAGAAACAAAGUGGAAUGAAUCAAAGGAGCAGCCACAAAAGUUUGGUAAAGUUGAUUAGUUGUGGAAAAAUACAAUGAAGCAUAAUAGAGAGAUCUGAAACCUAAUAUAUGCAACGAGAUGGCUAAAGACCUGUCACAAUCUAAACCCCUUAUGAUACAACUUCAGAGUGGUGUGAAUUGCCUGCUAUUGUGUCUUUGCUGAUGGCACCAGGUGAACUUGAAUGUUUAACAGGAUUUACCUCCGUCCAAUUACAUAAACACAAACUCUUCCAGUGACUUUUAGAUUGCAACAACAUGGUAUCACAUGAGUUGGAAGGAAAACAGACUUCAGUCUCAAAAUGUAUUUCAGUGACAAUAAUAACAAAAAUCCUAGACAAAAUUAUUAGAAAGAUCGAAUUAAAAAUGAAAGAAAUGUUAAUGAGUGAUUUACUUAUUAGGUAAAAAGAAUUGAAAUAUAUGCACUAUCAUGUGUAGCAAUAUAGAUCUUCUAAUUGAAGCCAAUAUGUAUCUCUGAAUCAAAAAAUACCAAGAAGACCAUAAACCACUUUCCAAUGUAACACCAAAUCCCCCCACCCCCAAAGGGACAAAAAACACUCACAAAAAGGGAAGGGGAAUUUGAGAUACAUAGUUCAUGGAUACCUCAUACCUCACUCCUCAGAGCAGAAGCUGCAGAUCCACGAUCUACAGGAUCAAUGGCGAGCAGGGUCUCCAUAAGAGCUAAAGCUGGUGCUGGGAAUUCCUUAAAUGUUUCUGCAACACAGCGUCUAUAAGGCUGCUGAGGCUUAAAGAUAGUCGCAUGAGGCAACUUUGAUUUUCUCCAAUAAUCUUCAGAAGGUGAGCCACACAGCUUGAAAAUUUUAUGCAGCUGCUCCACCUACAAGGCAGAGGCAUGCAAACUAAUCAUCAACAUUUUAAGUAGCUGCACUAAUGUUUUUUAUGACACUUACAUAGAUUAUAAGAAAGCAGAAAAGGGAUACGGCAUCUUGUGAUAAUUAUUCUCUCUUUCAAUCUUUUCUUUUUGAUAAAUCCUUUUUCUUUUUCAUAUUAUAAGAAUUUUGCAAAAGGAUAAAGAAAUUCAGACAUAUCAGACUCUGUUAGGUCUUUGCUUGAGGUCUCUUUUUAAAUAAACUUUUACAAUAGCUUGCAACACUGCUAAAACAUAUUCUUACUCGAGUUCCCUUAUUUUUACCUUUGACCAAAUUUAUAGAAAAAAUAAGGCACCCUCCAAGGUUAAAGUAAACAUCAAGACACGGUUACCUAUGAUCAACACCCAUGAUUUGUCAAAGGUGAGAACUCAUAAGGUAUUAUCACCUAGUGUUUGUGUUAAGUGUUAUAGUAGUAGAAAGUGCAUGACUAUGUUUCUUGCAUUGCCCAACAGCUUGGAAUGUGGAGUUGAGUUUCUAAAUGCUGAAAAGAAUUAGGCACUUCUGCGUAGGGUGGAGAAGAUGUUAAUGAUCCAUUUAGUGGGUUUUUUGCUGACAGGAUGUAAUUCGACAAUCUUCAAAGCAAUAACUAUCUAGAAGUUAGCACGGGAUAAAAUUUGUAUCUGGCAAUAAUUAGUUCAACAUUGUACUUGGAAUGAUGGCCCAUGAAAAAUAAUCUGCAUUGCAGUAUAUUAUAACAUGAAAUAGCAAGCAUCUAAGAGAAACACUCUGUUUGGUGGAGAACCCUAAAAGACAUUUUUUUUUCUCGAGAAUAGAAAAGGAGAGCACCUCAGUUCUCCCUGGCAUAAUAGGCUUGCCAGCAUACAAUUCCGCAAGUAUGCAACCUGUACUCCAUAAAUCAACAGCUAUCCCAUAGUAGGUAGCUCCAAGUAGAAGCUCUGGAGGACGGUACCAAAGAGUCACUACUCGGCUUGUCAGUGGCUGAACCUGGGCAGGAUCAUAAAAACUUGCUAGUCCAAAGUCUGCAAUUUUCAAGAUACCAUUGUUGUCAAUUAAUAGGUUGGAACCCUUUAUAUCACGGUGUAGAACACCACGGCUGUGACAGUGAUCAAGUCCUCGUAAAAGUUGUUGCAUGUAACAUUUCACCUGCCAGCAUAUACAUAUUAGACCACAACAUCCAAAGCAUACAAGCAUGAGUCAAAUAUCAAACCUGUUCUACCUUUUAAGAUUGACAAUUUACACAUGGAUGAUCUUGGAGGAUAAGGAGCAUGUAAAACUAGCAGAUGUUAACAAUAAAAUACGUAUGAAUUUCAUAGUUAGCAGCUGAUAGCCUGUCACGGCAAAAUGCAAACACCCAUUGAAUUAGAAUCUAUUAGAACCAAACUGCCAAAAUUACCUGGGCUUCUGUAAAAUUCAGACCAGGGUGUGAGGCAAGCCCAGCCAAAUCAUGCUCCAUGUACUCAAACACAAGGUACAAGCUGCAUGACAUCCUUGAUGUAACUAGGCCUUCUAACUUUAUUACAUUAGGAUGGUCAAGCCUGCGCAAGAUGUGAAUUUCCCUGGCCAUGAAGCGAACACUCUCAGGUUCCAGGUUAUCAAACCUUACUUUCUUCAAAGCAACAAUCUUCUUCUGAUCAAGGUCACGAGCCCUAUAAACAUUACUGUAGGUUCCCUGGCCAAUCUGCAUUAUAAUAGAAAUCAUCAGAUGAGGGAACCAAAUCCCAAAAGCAGGUCAUUUCAGUUCAAAGAGGACAGCAGCAGAUAAAAAUAACAGGGCAAACCAUUCUACAAGAACUUGUGGGACCUGAAUAGAAUGAUCUGCUGUUGUCAACUACUCAAAAAUUAUACACAAAAAAGUGCAAAUAGAAGUCCAUGAUAUCCAAACAAGAAAUGCUCAACAGCAAACCUGGCCCCUUGGCCCUAGCUUAAAGAGUAAGAAAAUAGUAAAAUACAAUGGUCAGGGACACAGGAUACAGAUUUGCACAUUCAGACCAGCCUAUUCAUGCAAAUCGCUUCAUCCUUCAAGACUAGAAGUUUGAAAAAAUUCAGCCAAAUUAACCAAAACGGAAUACCAAAAGCAGGGAGCAGGAAAUUCCAGCUACUGAAGUUGUUAACAAGCAUCCAUUUCUUGAAUUAUGCGGUAAAAUUAACAAUACAUGUUCAACUAAAAGUUAUAAGCUAUCUGUCCAUAUAAUAGCAGCUCCCUCACACAUCUUUAAAUGCUAUUGUAAAAUUUAAGUUUUUUUCUUUAGGUGAGAGGGGCAAGACAUGAACUCGAGAUCCUGCCGCCUCUCCCCUGAUUCUUGUGGAUUAGAGCUUUUGGGCUAAACUAUCUCAACAAAAUUGAAAAAGACCUGUUACAAACAAUGUUGAUACAUAGCACUCAUCUUCAUGGACCCAACUACAAUUCAGAUAUCACAUACACACAAUGCAAGUUGAAGAUUAUACCACACUUUUAAUAUUCUGCACUUUGUUUACUGUUCUUCCCCCACCAUAUUUGUUUCAAAGUUCCCUCCUUCCUCAGCACACUAACGCUAAUUGACUGGCAGCUUAUCAAAAUUGGAUUCAUUUUAGACCCAUUGUAUCUAUUUUGAUGGAUAAUUAUCUAAAUGUUAUGGGUAUUCCACUAACUAUAAUAAAAAGGGCACAUUAUCAAAGAAUGGUGCUUCUCGAAUAUUCCCCAAUACUAAAUAGCUCUUAAAUUCUCUUAAUAGCCUCUUACAUUUUCUCAAAGCUCUUGGACUCGAACAUGGAUACUUCCUAUUUUCUGAUAUGGUAAUCUCUCUAACCAAAUAAAAAGGUCUAACUACAAGAAAAUCAUUCAAACCUUUAAAGCAUCACUAAUUCCUACACUGUGAUUGCAGAAACAUGGAUCUUUCUCUGGUGUAAUCAGUAUAAGCCAUUCAAAUUCAAACUCUUUCAUAUCCAUACUGUCUCAAGCCUCUCAAAACUCUAUGCUUCUCAAGCCUCCAGGCUCUGACAAGUAAACUGAACUUCUAGCUAACAUUUAUUUAGAAGUUAUCAGGUUCAAAGAAUCCGUCAUUACUCUUAGCAUGUAAAAAUGAGUUAUGCAGAGCUCUUAUGCAUGUUAUAAAUGAGCCUUCCUAAAUGUAUUUUUCACCACCUUGCUUAUUUAUAAAUAUAAAUAUAACAAGCAUACAUACAACACAAAUCUCAAGGAAAAGUCACUUAAUAGCACCAAAAAAAAGUUCCAUAAUUUUGCUAACUGAAUUCAAGCUAAAGCUAUAAAAUUUGACAACACACCAUAUCCAAUGCGUGCACAAAUGAAAAUGCUAAAAAAUGUAACAGUCCAAAAAGGUUCUAAUUCUAAUUAGCAAUCGUCACUUUGUUCAUUGCAUUAUGAACCAAUCGAGGUGUCAUAAGCAUGUUCUUCAACCAUUAAGUUUGAAUUGCUAAAUUUUGAAAAUCAUAAACAGAAUCUUGCUUGCAAUGGAGCAGAGCUUACAAUAACACAUGUCAACGUUGAGCUUAGAGAUUUUUUAUGAAGUUACUUUAAAAGUGGAAAAAACGAUCAUCAGUAAUUGCAGGACGUGUUCUAAACAAAAGCACAUGUCAACGUUGAGCUUAGAGAUUUUUUAUAAAGUUACUUUACAAAAUGGAAAAAGGGAUCAUCAGUAAUUGCAGGACGGGUUCUAAUGAUUAAAAAUGAGAUAUAACAACAAAAACAAAACGAAAAAAAGGGCAUACCUUGUCCAGCUUCUCAAAUGAAUCCGCACGCCGUGGCAACCAACCUUUGAUUGCCUCUCCAGCCACAGCAGCUAGCCAGGAAGGCCACCCAGCUGCAACCUGCUCCCCUUCAGUGGCUUUCGGUAUGCUGCCCAUACCUGGGUGGUGAAGAACUGCAUACUCUGACUUGUCCCUCUUCCUAUCAACAUGCUCAACCCCAUGCACUCUAAGAGACCCAUUCACUUGCUUGUCAAUCAACAUUGUCCUACCAUCAUUACUAUCAUAUUGAUCUUUCGCUCUAUAUGCUUCCUCUCUCCUUGAAGAGGUAGCCCUUGAUACCCUCAAGUCAGACGAGGGCUUACUUGAAAGUCUCUCUCUUGGGCUCUCCUUGCUAUCCUCAAUUGCAGAGGGUUUACAACACAUGCAACCCAUUAUGUACCUAAACCACCUCCAAAAACACCCUUCUCCUUUAGAAUCAAUAAUUACCCUUCAAAAAUCUCAUCUUUACACUUCUAUCCUCUUCUUCCAUUCCCAUUUUCACACAACCAAACUAUACUUCAUCGAAAAUAAGCAAUUAAACUAUGUAUCUCAAAAUCAAUCACCGGAAGAGCAUAAGCAAUUCCCACUCAAGAUUGAAACUUUAAAAUAACCGAACACUAGAACCACACAAUUUUGCACAAUAACUUAACUGUGACUCAAUGACUGCUCUUUUACUGUGAAACUUCCAUUUCCUUAUCAAACCCACCGACUCCUAAUCCAAAAAAGGAAACCAAUUUCCUCAACCUACAACGCUAAAAAUGAAAAAACUAACAACAACCACCACCUUUACUCCAACAACAAAUUAAGAAUCACAACCUGAAAACUAAAUACCUUUAAAAUGUCAUGCCUAAUCUUUUCAGCUAUCGAAUCAGGUGAUUGAAAACCCUCCACCAAACUCACAAUUCCACUACAAAACAAACCCUAAAAACCCAAUAAAAAAAUAUAGAACCCAAAUUACCAAAACAAACAAACAAAAUCUAAAGAAAGUAAAGAACUGGAAACACUUCAAUAUAAAGCAUGCACCUUGAAAAUGGAAACCAAAAUGGUAAUAAACAAUAUUGUGAAAUGAGAAUUGAAGGACCUCCUAGAGAUGGAGAGAUCUAGGGAAAGAGAGAGAGAGAGUGGAGUAGUGUAGAGAAGAUGACAAGAAAAUGAAAAAUGAGAAUAAAUAUGUAAUACAAUAAAUAAAUAAAUAAAUGUGAAAGUUAUUACUAUAUAUUAAUAUUAUUAAAUUAAUUAAUUAAUGAGAUGGCGCGUAAGAACAGACAGGCUUUUAGAGAAGACUGAGAACUGAAGAGUGAGUGAAGACCCCAAUGCGUAAAGACAUUCUUGGUUUGUGUCUUCUUCUAUCCCCACGCGCUCUGUUUAUAUUGACACGUGUAUAUUUUUUCUUUGCCUUCGUUUUUUUUUAAACAAAACAUUAUUUAUCAUUUGAUGAAUAAUCUCUCUUUAGAUUUUUUACUGCCAGUUUAUACCUGACUGAAUAAAGUAAAAAAAAAAACUAAAUAGAAUAAUUUAACAAAAAAAUAUUAAAACCUAUUUCAUUAAUUUAUUUAACUUGUAGUUUAACCGAAUAAAAACUGAAUGUUACUGUAUUAUUUUCAAUAAAAAAAAACUUGUGUAUAUCAUAAAAUUUUCUCAACUUUAUAUAAUAUUAUGAUAAUACAUAAUUAUAUAAUAUAUGUGUCAAAUAUUAAUGUUGUUUUAUGAAUUAAACCCUAGUCAAUAUUCAUAAUAAAAACAUAUCUUAUAAUGGUAUUGUAGCUUCACAGGAUCCGUUUUCAUCUAUGGUAAAAUUUCUGUGUUUCAUUUUUUACCAUGCUUUAUUAAAAGAAAAACUAAAAAACGUGAGAGUUUCAAUGUAACUCUAUAUAUAAAUUAUUGUAAAUUAUUAUAGUAAAAUUAUUCUUUUACCUUUAAAUAGAAAAAACUUAAGUCCUGAAGUUGGGGUUUUUUCCACUUACCUAUUAGUUAUUGAAAAUUUUUUUGGGGAUAUAUGUGUUUUUUCUAAUUUUUUAUACAGUAAAAUACUUUUUUUAUUAAGAGUCAACAAUAUUUAUAAAUAUUGACCAAGGGCUUUCUUGAUUUUUCUCAAAUUUUUUAACAGCAAAAAUAUUUUUUUGCCCCCGAUAUCAAAAAUUUAUGGAGUUGUUGGGCAAAGGUGUUUAUGGUUUUUUCAUGAUCUAUAUACAGAAAGCAUAUUUUUAACCUUAUAAAAGACCAAAAAAAAAUAAGUUUUUCCUUUAAGGGUGUUUUAAUAUUUUCAUAUGAGUAUUCUGUGUAAUUAACAUGUUCAUGAGGGUGUUUUGGUAUUUUUCACAUUUUCUUUUCAAUUUUUUAUUCUAAGAUCUGUUGAAUGCGUGUUCCAAACAUGCUGAAGAGUGGAUGGCGUUCGUGUCAUUCAGGUGAUGAUGAUGGUGAUAAUUGUGGUAGUGAUAUUUAUAAUGAUGAUGAUGUCAUCGUCGUCGUCAUCAUAAUAAUAAUAACAAUUUCAUACUCACAUUUUUUCAUACUCACAUUUUAUUCAAAAAAUAAUAAUAAUAAUUUAUUAUGAUAGUUGUAGUGAUUAUGAUAUCAAUAACUAUGGUGAUGAUGGUAAUAAUAUUAAGAAUUAUUAUAAUAAUGAUAUUGAUGGUGGUGAUAUUAUAAUUAUAAUAGUAAUAAUAAUAAUGAUAAGAAUAAAAAUAAUAGUAAUAUUAAUUGUGAUGGUGGUGAUAAUAAUUAUAAAAAUAGUAUUAACAAUAAUAAUAAUAAUAAUAAUAAUAAUAAUAAUAAUAAUAACAACAACGAUAAUAAUAACAAUAAUAAUGGUAACAAUAAUAAUGAUAGUAAUCACGAUAAUAAUACUAAUAAUAACGAUAAUGAUAUUACUUAUUGAUAAUAGUAGUGAUGAUGACAGCUGUAAUGUUAGUGAUAGAAGUAUUGAUGAUGAUAAUAACGAUAGAAUACUAAUGGUGAUAAUUCAUCAUUCGAUGUUAGAUUUGUUAGGAAUUGAGUUUCACCACUUUUCCAUGUAUGGAAUUUCCGGUCUAAUAUUCUGGGUUACUAGUUUGAAAAGUGUAAUUGGAAACUCGUUUUAGGAAAAGAUCCAAGAUAAGAGAUUUCAAGAUUCAUCUUAUUGUCCGGGUUUAUAGCAUUGCAAAAAAAUCUUUGUGCUCUUGAUAAUUUUUUUCUACAUUUUUUAAAACAUGGUUUGGCUCGUGGUGGAGCGCAAAAAAAUGAACGAGUACACUUUCUAUGUAUUGUUGUUUAUCGUUGUUUAGAGAGCACUUUUUUUAUCUAUUGUUAUUGAAUUAUUUUUAAAUUAAAAUUAAAAUUAAAAAUAAUAUGGAUCAAACACCUUUAUUCAAACUUACUAAAUUUAUGUAACGAUCACUUUCUUUAUUUUAUCAAAAUUUCUAAAAACCAACAAAUCUUGAUAUUUAGAAAUUUUCCUAAACAAAUAUAUACCAAAUGUAUUUGUGAUUUGAGUAUUUUUUUUAAACAUAGAAAUUGACGAAGUCAUGAAAUCUUCAUAUUGGAUUAUGCUUUCCACGGGUUGUGAUUUUAGGCUAGAGAAGUGACCGAUUUCACCACUAAUCAAUAAGAUUUUCCUACAAAACAAUCUCAUGUUGGAACAAGAGGUCUUCUAAAAAUUAAUUUAAUAAAAAACAUGAGGGAAAUAAUAUACAUGAAAGUAAAGAAUGUAGGAGAGUGUAUUUGUGAAUGUUGGAUUGGGUGCAUUGUGUAAACUUGUUGAAUAGUUGUUCGUGAUUUCUAAAAUUGUUGUCUGGUUGCUUGUGUGUUUCUGGAAGUGUUGGGUGGUUGCUCAUGGUUAUUGGAAGUGUUGGCUGAUUUCUUGUGAUUACUAGAUCGAGACCCAAAUAAUUUUUCAAGGUCGAGCCAGCCAAAAUAAACUGAAAAGCAAUUUGUUUGGGUUGUGGCCUAAAGGGAUUGAAGGUAGUCAUUUUGGUUUGCUGGCCUAAACAUGUUAUUUAAUUAUUAUUAUUUUAAAUUUUAACAAAUUUAUCGUGCCAUCAUAUGUCCCCCAAGUCUUUAAAAAACAUGUUUGGAAGACUUUACCGAAAAAAAGUAGGGGAUAUAAAAUACUUAUUGUUUUUAUACUGGUGAUGUUACUUGCUUUUGUUAAUGUACAUACAUGAGAGUUCUCUUAAUUGUUUUUCAUCAUUUCUGUGAAGAGAAGAGAAUUUAGUCAAUUUUAUGUGUUCUUCCUAGAAUAGAGAACAUUAUUACUUAAAAGUGGAGAAUAUUUCAUGUGAAAACAACUUUAAAGUAUUAUAAUAUUGGAGAAGUGGAGAUUUCAUUAGAGAUCUCAAGUUGAGAUCUUUAUUGGAGACAUUAGAAACACAUUUAGAGACAUAGAAACUUCGCUUGGAGAUGUGGAGAUUUCAAUAAAGAUAUGAAGAUCUCAUCAUGAAGAUUUUUUAUUGAAGACAUGAAGAUAUGUUUUGGAGACACGAAGAUCUUACUUUGGAGAUUUUUAUUAAAGACAUGGAGAAAUAUUACUACUUUUAUUCAAAAGUUAAUGGAGAUAUAAUUUCUAAAAAUUAUUUGAUCUUGGACAGUCCAUCAUAUGAAUUUUUUUCAGUUUGUUCAGAUUCUUUUUUUUUUCUUCAUAAAUUAUUAGAGGUAUCCUUUAAAGAUCAAUUUUCCCUCUUCUUUUUCAAGGUAUGACAUUCCUCAAUGUCGUGAUCAUGGUCAUGGUAAAAGUGACAGGAUUUAUUAGGGUUCUUUGUAUUUGCGCUGCUUUUCUUAGGGCCAGGUAUCAUUUCCUUGAUUGGUAGCCAACACUUUAGUAUAUGUAGUGAUAAAAGGUGUGUUCAGGAGCUCGAAGAAUGUUAGGCGAUCAAGAAAUGAUCUCUCAGUGCUCUUUUUCGAUGCCCUGGUAGGAGAUCGAUAACAUUACAGAGAUUUUGCUCUCUCUAAAAACGAUGAUGUCCCUAUUUGGCAACAUUGGCUUCUUAAACGAUAAUAAGAAUAGACAUAAACAUUAAAUUGAUUGAAUAAAAUAAAGGAAAAAAAUAUUAUGCUAGGUUGCACAUAUUAGAAAUAUUAUCUAAAAAUAAAAAAACUUAUUUUAAAAAAUAAAAUUCAUCUAUACAAAAGAUAAAAAAAAAAUUAUAGAUAAAUAAGAAAAACCUCGUAAAAAAUUAAAUGCAUAACAAAAAAAAUCAUCAAUUAAAAGAGGCUCUUUAAACAAAAUAAAAGAAAGAAGAGGUAUUAAUCUAAAUAUAAAUAUUUAAAAAUGUAUAAAAAGAAGCAUUAAUUAAAAAAAAAAAAAGGUCAGGUGCAGUAGCUAACCUGUCUAGCCUUUUUGUUGGGGCUCGCGCGACUAGGCCCUUAUUUGUUUUCGCAUUUAGGGUGGUGUCGCCCCAAAUGUUUUUGAAAAAAUAAAUCAGACGACACGUCGUUUGUUUUUGCCCAGAUUCCAACCAUUGCAGUGACCAAAAAAUCAAGGCUUAGGGUUUUUUACCCAGAAACACAUUUUUCAACAUAUUUUUGACCAAAAACACCUAUAAAACACCUUAAAAACCGUAACAAACCUAUUUAUAGCCUAAAAAACCAAAAAACCAUCUCAAAAAUCAAAAUCAACCCGAGCUCAUAUAUGUUUUUUCAUGAAUUUUAAAGGUAAAAAAAUCUAGUAUGAACUCCCCUCAUCAAAUAGAAUUAUUUGACACAAAUAUCGACCGUUUUAGUGGUCUAAAUUGGUAUUAACGGCAUCUCUCUCUCUACCGCUAGAAUCCAGCGACCUCUCUCUCUCAUCUCUCAACCAGAGACUAAAAGUAACAAAAAUAAAUUUUUAUACCGAAAUUGAAUUGAAAAAAUAUUAAGACACCAAAAUUGUAUAAUUUGUUUUAUUUUUAAAGUGCGAUGACCAAAGUAUAUCUAGAUCUACGGUGUUUUAUUUGUGUAUAAAUAGUGUCGGCUCUACAGCUAAAAUCACAUGCCUUUUUAGAUUUUUACUUCAAUUAGUUUUCUUUCUCCAAUUUGAAGGAUAGUAGAUAGGCAUUUUAUUUGUGUAUGAAUCCAAAAAAUAAAUACUCUAGUUUUGUUAACGAAUCACAUCAUGUGCUAGGACACGGCAACAAUUGCAGGGAAAACUUGAUAAUAAAGGAUGGAUUGAUUUGCUGGAUUUUCUUUUCCUUUUGCCUUUUUAGCAUUCUUUCUAUAACUUGAUAAUAAAUAUCGUUAGGUGGGUGAAUUGGAUGGAAACUCUUGCCCCUCAUUUGAAGGCCCCACUCAAAAUAAUCAUGAUCCUAAUCUUAGUAAGUUGAAUAAUCAUGUGGCUGUUCAAUGAUUGAUUUUUUUUGGGUAAUGCUGAUUUUAAUAUCAUUUUCAUCUAUCAAUUUGAUUAGGUGGGUCCUUGUCGCUGACAUUUUUCUUUGGAUGAUUGGAGACUUUUUUGACCUUCAUCCAUGUAUGUAUGGGUUUUAACCAGCAGUGAGAAAAAUAGUUGACAUUUUUCUGCUUUUGACAUUAAAAAUAUAAAGUUAAAAGGUUUUGGAAUACACUAUUUUUAUAUAUCCACUAACAUUGUGGAUAAUAAUAGUAAUUUAUAGUAUUGGUUUUUUUUUUUAGCAUUUUGACCUUUUUUUCCUUUUAAGUAUUGGUUUUUUUUUUUAAAUUUAUUCCUCAUAUGAUAUGUUUAUAGAGAUUUAGAGUAAAUAAUUUAUUUUAAUUUGUUUUUUAUAUAGUUAUCACAAUACUAAAAAAAUAUCAUAGCAUCGAGUUGGUAUCGGAAAAAAAUUUCAGUAUUACAGUAUGAUCUAUUUUUAAAAAAGUUUAGUGAAACAAAAAAUAAUUUAGAAAAAAAAACUAAGUUAUUAAACUUUGUGGAGUCAAUGACCCUGUUUCCGAGUUUGGCGAGAUAAUCCUGAUUGCCUCGGUUCGCGGGUUUUGUUGGGUACUUUUUUUUUCUAAUUGAACUUGAUUAUAUGAUCAUAUAUAUUUUUUUAUCAUAUAAUUAAAAAAUAGUUUAAAAAAAACAUGUUACUAUAUUUUAGAAAGUCCAUGGGCCUAUUGACGAGUUUAACUUUUCUGUUUUUCUUUUUUAAAAAAAAUUAUUUUUUUUAUUUCAUCCUUUGAUGUUAGGUUGAUUGAGAAUUGAGUUUCAUAAUUUAUUUCGUUUUGCUUUUUAAGAGGUUAUUAUAUUCUUAAAAAAAAAGUCUUAGAAUUGGUUUGAUGCUUAAUUUUGCGAUCAUCUAUUUUUGUUAUCAUAUAGUUAAAUAAACAAUAAUUUAUAUAAAAAAACAAGUUAUUAAUCCCAAUGGAGUCCAUUAUCAGGUUUGCGAGUUUGAAAUGUUGACCCGGGUUACCCGAUUCACGAGUUUAGCCAUCAAGCCUGAUAUUUUUUUUUUUAGAUUUUGGUCCUUUAAUUUUUCUAAUUGUCUUUUUUUUUUAUUUCACUCUUCUUUAAUAUUGGAUUGUUUGGGAAAUGAAAUUCAUGGUUUAUUUUUUUCUACUUUUUAUAAGGUUAUCACGAUCUCAAAUAAAAUGUCUUUUUUAUGGUUACUGCUCAAUUUUUCAAGUAUCUAAUGUUAUCAUAAAAUUAAAUAAAAAUAAUUUAUAAAAACAACAAAUUUAAUAAACUCAUUGAACUUCAUGACCUAGGUUACAAGAUGACCGAGGUCGAUCUCAUCUGGUAUCAUCUCAAUAUUAAAAAAAAAUUAUUGUCUUAAAGUUUUUUUAAAAGAUAUGUCAUGUUUUUAUUGGUCAUCUAAGUUGUAUUUAGACCCAUUAAAUUGAAUGAUUCACUUUGGAUCAACUCUUACGCGAUUUAAUUCAAAACUCGAGUAAGGAAAAGAGUCGAGUUGGCAGGUUUCAAGAUCAAACCGCUUGAUUGGAUUUAAUGAUACUACAAAAAAAUAUCACCAUACUCUUAACAUUUUUUUAUGUUUAGAAAAAGAAUAGUCUGACUCACAGUGAAAUGCAAGCAAAUGUAUUAAAACAAGAAUGUGUGACAUAAGCUCGUAUAUUUACAUUGCUCAUAGUUAGAUUAUUGGGGAAUUACAAAAUUGUCAAGAAGAGUGAUAAAUUGAUAGUUGGAGGCAAGGUUGUCAAAAACGCAUUUUUGACACGACAUGAAAAAUACAAAAUAAACUCGGAUCGUAAAAACGGAUCGUAAAAUCGUAAGGAAUUUUUUCAAGAGAAGCCUAUUGUCCCAAAUUCAAAGAAGAUGAUACAAAUAAAACAAUGUUCUGGAAAGGAAUAAACAUUACCAGCAAUGCUUUCAUAAUCACAAAGACACCAUAACACCAUCCCACGCAAAUUCAAAGAAAAUCAAUACAAACAAAACAAUGUUCUGGAAGGAAACAGACAUUACCAGUAAUGCUUUCAUGGACAGGGACAUUGGUGACCAGUUCCUUCACACUCAAACGUUUGCACAACAACGUUGUAAAAUUCAUAAUGUUCAAUCACCAAAUAGUUAAAAAACCUGCAAAGAAAAAAACAUCGCAUCAAAAGUUUGAACCAUCAAUAACAAAAGACACGCUGAAAUGCAGAGAGAAAAGAGGACACGAAGCAAAGCAAAACCAAGGUUUUUAUUUUUUUUCUUCGAAUACAUAAACCUGUUCAAACUGUCCACAUAGCAAAACAACAACAUUGAGACCUGCCAACAUUACAGGUAACCUCCAUAUGCAAUCUGUGAUUGUUCCUGCACAAACACACUAAUCAGUUCUACCCCAUAGAUUGAUCCCUGAAGCUUUUUCUUCAGAAAUGAAUCCUUUGCUCUUUAAACUUUAAACUGCAUCCUUGAUAAUUUGCUCCAUGGGAAUAAAUUCUAAACCCAAGUCCAUCAGCUUCUUGGCUCCAUUCUUUGCCCUUAACAACCCAGGUUGGGUAUCCUUCAGCAACCUACACCAAUAGGCACAUUAAGGAUCAAGCAGUAAUGAUUCAUACCAUCAAACAACCAGAAAGAAGUUUUAAGAUCUCAAUGAAGCAGGGGUGGCAAUGGACAGAAGUUUGAUCCACAACACAACAACAAGCACAACUUUGUAUGAGAAUAAAGAGCAAGACUAGUUAAAUUUAAUGUUCCCAAAUUCAAAACCCACAAACCACACUUAUCAAGAAAAUCUAAAUUCACCUCAAAUCAGCCUAUAUACUGAUUUUGCGAAAGAAAUUAUCAUAAGAAAAAUUGGUCUCAUUUCACAAGUUCGAUUACCAAACUUUGCUUUUACUGUAAUGACACCUAACCUAGCAAUAAUAAUCUACUACAAUUUGCUCCAAUAAGAGUUCAAACAUUCUGACAGCUUAACCAAUUAUAUAGACCGACCUCCAGAUAUGAGAAUAUUCAAGAAAUUGGUAAAAGCUAAACAAACAGCUGAAAUAUUCUUCUGAUUUGGGGUUUCAAUCUAUAAUCAGUGUUGUCUUUAGGGUUUUUGCUUUCCAGCUAGCAAGCUAAAGCAAAGCUUAACAUAUAUGAGGACAAAGUGAUAGUAUGCUUGCACGGUUUCACCAUUAUCGUCCAGACUUCCAUAAACAAGUGCACUAACAAGAAAAAAAAAAGAACAAAAAUUGGUUGUUGUUUGAGUUUUGCCUAUGCAGAGACAAGACUCGGUGAGUUGUGGAGGCAGAGCAGUAGAGGUGAGUUGUGGAAAAAGAGGCGAGACUGCGAGAACCCUUGAGAUUUGAGAAAGGGGAAAGGGGAAAAGGGAAAGGGGAAAGGGGAGGGUGACGGUGUGUCGGGGAGGGGAGACAGAGUCAGUUUAUUUUUUUCACUCUCUAUCAAACUCGUUAACUCGGUCCGUUUUUACCGAGUUGACCGAGUUUGGUCGAGUUUGACCGAGUUUGACCAUUUUCGAGUUUUUAACUCGAUUUUACAGGUUAUAUGGGAGUUGACUCGUAAAAUCGUACGAUUUUACGAGUCAACUCGCGAUUUUGACAACAAUGGUUGAAGGGUUAGACUUCAGUUUUUAUCUGAAAAAUAACAUUAACUAAAUAAUUAACUCACAUUAAAUAACUGGUUGGGGAAAAAAUUAAACUUAAAAAAAUUUCAAGUUUGUAAAGAAUUUCUAGGCAGUGUCAUUAAAUUUAGCCUAAGUCAAUUUUAAAAUCUCCUGAUCAAACUCAUCUCUUAGUCCAGGUUUUAAAUUAAACCGUAUGAAAGUUGUCCCGGUAUGACUCAAUUGACCUAAUGAGUUUAAAGUGACCCAAAUAACCAGUAAAAAGUGUAAUUUAACUUUUUUUAAAAAUUUCAAGAUAACAUAAUUUUUUUAAAAAAUAUUGAUACGACAAUAUAUUGUAUUGACCUGAGUUUUGCGGCUUAACCCACCAAAACCAUUACUCGGGUUAUGGACUCCACUUUUAAUAAAAAAAAUUUAAACUACUUUUUAUCUAAUUAUAUGAUAACAAAAAUAGAUGUUUGUAAAAUCAACCACUAACUUGAUGUUGGGAAAAAUCAUGGUGUUUGUUUGAGACCAAAAUAAAUUAUGAAGGUCAAUUCAAAAUCAACCAAAAUUUAAAGGAAAAAAUUGAAAAAAAAUCUGUCAAUAAAUAUCCAAUAUUGAAUGAUGACAUUGGGAAAAAUCAAAGGAAAAAAACCAAAAAAUAGGCUAAACAGACUGGCCUAUAUGGUCCAAUACGCCUCUACCUUCUUUAUUUAUUUUUCUUUUUUAUCAUCCACCCUUUGUUUUUUGAAAACAUAUAUAGUAGGCAAUAUGUUGUAUGUUUUUAUAGAUUCUGACCACCACAUGUGGCUGGAAAGUCAAGCUUCUAACUUAUAGGUAAAAAAAAAAAACAAUUUCAAAUAGUUUUCAAUUGAAAACACCUAAGAAACACCCUAGGGAUCUCAAUAAAUCCAUUUUUUUUAAUCUUAAAUUAGCAUUUAAUCAGUUAUAAAUGAAAAAUCAUUUUAAUCCAUUUUUUAAAAUGUGAUCUACUUUUUUUCAACAAAAUAAAUAAAUAAAAAAGAUCUAAAGAGAACUCUCAUUGUCAAAUGGAACCGAUUAACAAAAAUUAGUCAUUCACUAACUCUUUUUUUUGUGUUUUUAGCGACUUUCCCUUUUCUCUCACAAUUACAUGGUCUAAAUAUGAACAAAAUAAAAUUUAGAACAAAACCUCUCAAUUCCCAAACCAAAUAGACCACAAAGAAAAUUAGACAAAAUCCUAAGGCACAAAGGUGCUAACAUGAUUUUUUUAACGGAAGAUCCUUUUUUAUUUUUUUAAUUGUGGUCCCUUGAUUUUUUUAUUUUUCUUAAAUAAUAAAAUUGGAUUCAUUUUCAUGAAAUUGAGUACCAACCUAAUAGCAAGACUUUUUUAAAAUAGAGAUAACAAAAAAAAUUUGAAACAAAUUAUUAACCUUAAAUCUCAAUAAACACAACAUUGAAGCAUCAAAUUGAAAAGAAAAAAUUGAUGAUCAAAGGCAUAAAAAAAAUAAAGAUGACCAAAGUUAAAACCAUAUAUUUUUUUUAAAUGCCUUAUAUUGUUUUUUUCAAUUUUGGUCCCCUCAUUUUUAAUCUCUUGCAAACAAUAAAAUCAAAUAUAUUUUUUUGUGAAACUUGGCACUAACACCAUGUGAGGAUGUUUUUCUAAGAUAGCGCUAAGCAUAUAAAAAGCGAAUCAAAAUAAAUUAUCAAUCCUAAAUCCCAAUCAACACAACAUUGAAUGAUAAAAUUCAAAAAAAUAAUAACAAAAAAAGGUGUAAAAAAAAAAUGAAGCAACAUUGUGUGAAUAUAUGGUGUUUUGCCUUGUAAUCCACAAUGAUUGUAUGAUGCUUUUUCAGUUUUUAACUAGAUGUAGACUUGUACUACACCACAUGGCCAUAUUAUUAUUAUUAUUGCUUAAAAUGAUGUUCAGGUGAUACGAACAUUUUAAAGAAUGGAGAAAAAUGUGUGACACGAGUCAUAGACCCAACUGGGUUAAAUAAAUUGAUUUUAUUUUAAUUAGAUAAUAAAACAAAUAGGCAAUGACAACAGAUGGACCGAAAAACAUUAUCACGAUAACUUGAAGAAAAAACUUUUUCUAAAAAGGUGAAAAACGAUGUAGCUCAUUUAUCAACCAAUUAAAUACAAGAUGAUAAAAUUAGGUGAAAAUAGAACAAAGAAAAUUGACAUAAGUCAACUCAAGUUAGCAUGACAAACCUAUAACCCGGGUAAUAUAGACCAAGUCAACACGGGUUAGCCCGCCAAACUCUUGGCAUAAGUUAUGAGAUUAUGAUAACUUAAUAGAAAAGAAAAUGAAGAAAAUUACAAUGCCUAUUUUUUUUAAGAGGAAAACAAUGUCGAAUGAUGAAAUAAAAAAAAUAAGUAAGAAAAUGUCAACCCACUUUAACUUCUCAAACUCCUGAUCCGGAUCAUUAGAUCAAAAGCACCCUAUCUUAAAAAACCAUGAUGUCUGAUUCCUAACCAAUCAAAUAUUGAAUGAUGAAAUUAUAAAAAAAAAUCAAUUAAACAAAAGAAUCCAAAAUAGAAAAUAGCAAUUAAACAAUGAAGAACUAGAUUGAAAUAAAAAUAAAUUAGAAAACAACUACAAUUUUUUUAUUGAAGGGUGAAAUUGUAAAUAUAAAUCAAUUUAACAAAAGGACCAAAAAACAAUUAAAAGAAUGAGAAUCAAAUUGAAAAAAAAUAGCUUAUCACAAAUUAGGAUUGAAUGAUGAAAUUGAAAACAAAUUAAAAUUUAACAAAAGGGCAAAGAACAAAAAUUAAAAAUCAAAAGAAUACAGACCAAAGUUGAAGUCUCAAUAAAUAAGAGGACAAGUCUGAAAUUUUGAAUGCUCAAUAUGAAUUUCAAGGGGAGGAGGGAGAAAAGAGAAAAAUAGAAAGAAAGCAUUAUUGUUAACAAACCGCCCCCACUACUGCUGCCUUAUGCGGCCCCAAUAAGGAGAAGAUAUCACGAUGACUCAAUAAACACGUAGAAGGAAAUGUUUUGUUAUCGAGAGACGCCGUAUGCGCCGUUAGAACACUAUGGGAACCUCCUAUAUGCUAACCAUGUUUUUUAUUAUUAUAUUUUAUAUUUAUUAAAAUAUCAAAUUACCCCCAAUCAACUUAAUUAUAACUAAUAAACUAGGUUGAGAAUUCAAAAAAGCCCUCAAAUGCUAGUUUUAGAAUUUUUGCUUUUAAAGAUAUUGUAGUUAUUUUACUGCACUUUAAAAAUAUGAAAUGACCAAGUUAUUUCUGAUCAAUUUGAUAAUGACUAGUGAACCUUGUGAAAAGACUGCAUUACCUCUAAUAGUCAGUUUAAAGAUUUUUGGCGGGAAGAGCAAAAUCAUCAUUACAUUGUUAUAAUUAACAAUGUUUUUCCCUCCCAAAUUAGCUUUUGUUAAUUUUAAUUUUAAUUUAAUUAUAAUUUUCCAUAGCAGUAGACUUUUGGCCUAUAACAAGUUAACUCGAUAUUAUUUGUGGCAAAGGAUAAUAAGAUCCUAAGCAAAAAAAUAAAAUAAAAAAGUUCAAUUGAGUCCUUGAUAUUACUCUUUUUUAAUUUUCUACUUUAAAAAUAAUAAAACGAGGACUUAUAUGUCUUAAAAUGGUACUUGUUUUGGCAUGAGUUUUAAUCGUGGACUUAAUUGGAUAACGUAUGAUAGAUAUAAUGAAAUUUAACUUUUAAAGUUAUUCUAAACAUUACACUAUGUAAAUAAAAUGUUAAAAGAUAGUUCUACUCCAUUCAAUCUUGUAAUGACAAAUAAGUUCUGUAAAAAGAUAAUUUUACCUUGUACGGUUUAAAUUGUGAAAGGAGAAAUAAUAAUUUUAUAAUUUUAUUGUGAGGAUCCACAAUAAAUUAUUAUCUAUUAGUAUAACAGCCCGGCCCAACUUGUCAUAUAUUGUCCACUUUGGGCCUUACUGUCCUCAUGGUUUUGUUCAUGGUGACGCGAGCCCACAUCUGAGCCUGACGCCCCAAAACGCGUAUGACAAGUUGGCAACUAGCACUUGCUAUAUAUUGUCUGCUUUGGGCUUUACCGCCCUCACGGUUUUGUUCCUGGCGACGCGAACCCACAUAUGAGCCUGACGUCCCAAAAAGCGUAUGACAAGUUGGCAACCAGCACUCAUAAUAAGACCAACUACCACUCCCUCACCCGCCGAUGUGGGAUAUUACAAUCCACACACCUUAAGGAGCCUGACGACCCCGUCGGCACAACCGGACAAACAGUGAGGUCGGUUCUGAUACCAAAUGUGACAGCCCCGCCCAACUUGCCAUAUAUUGUUCGCUUUGGGCCUUACCGCCCUCACAGUUUUGUUCCUGAUGAUGCGAGUCCACAUCUGAGCUUGACGUCCCAAAACACGUAUGACAUGUUGGCAACCAGCACUAUUAAUAAGGCCAGCUACCACUCCUUCACCUGCCGAUGUGGGAUAUUACAAUUAGUGUGUGUAAUGUAUUCUUGAUUAAUUUUUUUAGCUUUUGCUUUAAUGGGUUUAAGUUUUAAAGUUUCAUUUAAAAGUCUCCCAAUCAUGCAAUUUGAAAUUCCUACAAUUCAAAUUGUUAGAUUAAUUUAAUUUCAGCAUGAAUUUAUCCCGUUAGGAAUAUAUUGGUUGGGACUUUGAUAUGCUUUGAUAUUACCAUGAUGUUACAUGGAAUCAAAGAUUUCUAAACACAUUUUUUCUUUCCCUCUCAUUAAUUAUAACUUAUAAGUGAAUGGUUAAAAAUACCAGUUUCAUAAAAACAAAAUGAUAAAAAGAAUUGAAAAGAGAUUAUGCAAGAAGGUCCUCUUGUCCUAUAUGCCAAAGAUUUUAUGAUGUUUUAUCAAAAUAUGAAACAUAGAUUAUAUUGGAAAGUUAGGGGUAAAUAUUUUCAGUUCAGUUCGGUUUUUACUUAAAAAAAAUAACCAAAUUAAAAUUUAAAACAAAAAUAAAAAGACUCAGGAUCGGCUCAUGAAAGAAAGCAGGAACUUAUGGAGGCCAUUGAACGUUGGAAUAUAAUGAAAAUUCCAACUUGAUUCAAUGUUGUUGGAACCGGUUUGGCUCGGUCUAAUUCAAUUAGUUUUAAACUCUUAAAUCAAAACCAAACCAACAUAAUUUUUUUGUUUUUCUAAUAUUUAAUUCAGGUUUUUUAGUUAAUUUUUAUUUUAUUUUAUUAAUUUUUCGGUUUUUUUCUCCCCUCUAAAGAAAGUAAUAGAACAUAAUGAAAUUACCAUGAUGCAAGUCUUGGUCGGUCCAUUGAACGUGCACAAUACCUACCAAUACCAUCUCACCUGUUAGCGAACAGUAGCUGUCAAUGUCCAAUAAAUAAUGAAUAGUUUAUCCAUUUGAUAAGGCAUUCAUGAAAUUUAUGGCAGUGUCUUCUGAAAUCGAGACAAGAAACAAGUCAAUGGGACCCCUUCAAGCUCAAGCAUGGUGGCCUCUGAGUUCUUCAUGCUCCACGUAGUUCAACACUUUGUAUUCUAGUUACAAAACUGUAUUAUUAUAUUUCGCCAGCUUUGAUUAAAUAAUCAAGUGAAUUCACAUUAAUAUAUCUGUUUUGUAAUCAACUGCAAGUUAUUUUUUUAAGUUUAUAUAUAUAUAUAUAUAUAUAUAUAUCAACACAUCAAAACUAUUAAAAGAUACUUAAAAAACAUUAAUUUAAUUAUUUUUAAAAUAAAAAAAAUCUAAAAAACACUUUAAAAAACAGGUUGAACCACAUUAUCAAAUACAUCAUUUUCGGAUAUGUUUGGAAUUGUGGUUGUGAUUCAAAAUGUUUUGCGCUUAGAAACGCAUCAAAAUGAUGUUUUUUUAAAAAAAAAAAUUAUUUUUAAAAUCAGCACAUCAAAACGAUCUGAAAACAUAAAAAAUUUAAUUCUUAAUAAAAAAAAUUAAAUUUUUUAAAAACACGGGUUGGAUCUCGUUUCCAAAUGAUCCAUUCAUGGUUGUUCCGAGUAAUUAGCUUUUCAUUAGUACAACGUAAAAUCAAAACUUCUUUUAAAUUGUAGGGGUAACAUUGAAAACAUUUAAAAUAUAAGGGUAGAAGUGAAACAUUUAUGAAUCUCUAGGAGCAGUAUUGAAAUUUACCCUUGUUUUUCUACUGGGGAAACCUCAAUUUAGUCCUCAUAUUUACUUCAACGUCAAUUGAGCCCCAAUCCUUAUGAUUUUGUUAAGUUUACCCCAAGCACAAUUUUAACAUCAAAUCAUUAUAAAUUUUACUUUAUACAAACCAGUUAUUCUCCAAAACAUGAAAGCAAAAGAAAAGAUCAAAGACUAAAACCAGAAUCAAUGAAAUCAGCCAAGAGGAAACAGACCUAAAAGCAUUGUUAUUAAAAUAUAUUUAUGCUUCAUACCUUGCAAGAUAUAUUUAUACUAUAGUACAUACAAGUAUCCAAAGUCAUCUUUUAUUUCUUUUAAUAUAAAUGUUUUAAUAUAAGAGUAAGAGAAAUAAAAUAUAAAAUCUAGAAAAUUUUCUAUGAAAUACCAUACAAAAAGUAACAAUCUUUUAAGGGAACGGGUAUAAUAAAAUUCAAAAAAUUCUUCUAAUGUGUAUUCCCACAUAAAUGAUCCUUUUUAUUUGACCUACAAAAACAAAAAAUAAUUAAUUAUAAUAAAUUAAUAAACCCGGCAUAACUCGGGUGAGACCCGACCUUUUUUUUAUAUAUUUUUUAAUAAACCCAAAAAAUGUAAAGUUAAUGUGUGAAUACUUUAACUUUUUCAUGUGGGAUAACUAUAUUUAUAGUCUAUAUCCUCAUAGAAUAUUUCUUAACCUACACUCACAUGAGAUAACAUACACUCACAUGAAAUGUUUCAGAUAGCUAUAUAUAGCCUAAAACCACAUGAAAUGUUUCUUAACUUUUUUAUAUGAGAUAGCUAUAUAUAGCCUAAAACCACAUGAAAUGUUUCUUUUCCAUGUGGAAUAUUAAAACCUCAAAAUAUUUUUUAAAUUUUUUACCGGGUUGACCCGUUUUGACCCGGGUAACUCGUAUGACCUGGACCCGGCCCCUUGGUCGGGUCAACCCUCAGGCCAGGUUUAAUAACUAUGGUGUACACACUGUCAUUUUAAUGUGGAUUUACACAAUGAAAUGAUCAUUUUGUUAUUUUUAAACAAAAUCAUUUAACUUGCUAUUGGAGGUAAAACAGUCUUUUUCAUGGGAUCCAUCUAUCAAUGUCAUAUUGAUUUGGGAGGUCCUGAUCUUUUUACAUUUUAGGUGCAUAUUAAAAUGACUUAAAUACCAUUAAAAGCAAAAAAUAAAUAAAACUGGGGACAUGGAGCUUUUUGAUUUUUUAAUAUUUUGAUUGCACAAUGAAAUGACUAUAUUUUUCUUAAAAGAAAAAAAAACUGAUAUAAAAAAGUAUUUUAGUCGCUUCAUUAUGGUUUUUAAGUCAUUAUCAAUUUUAAUAAGGGGCAUUUUAGUCUUUUAACAAAUAUAAAUAUAAUAAAAAAUUAAAAGAUGGUAAGCGCGUGCCACGUACACACUAGAGAGAGAAGGGCACUAAUGCCUUUUGAAUUGUGUCUGGCACCUCCUAGCGAUCAAAUGCCGCUAAUAUUUUUCUUUUCCUCCCUCCUCUUUCUCCUCGUCUUAGAUUUCACGCCAACCAUUUCAAAUAUCAAACAUGUCUUGUUAGUUUGUAUUUAUAUCAAUUUUGGUCUUCAUUCUUUUGAUUGCUAUUUGUUUUGUUUUUACGGCUUUUUGAAGUUGAUUUUUUAUUUAUUUUGUCCCCCAAUAUUUUACUUCAUUUAAUUUUUGUAUCUAAUUUGGUCUUUAUUCUUAUGAUUACUAUUUUGUUUUUGUUUUUAAUCCUUUUCUUGAUUUGUUUUUUUAAUUUUAUCCCUUAACAUUUUAUUUCAUUUAAUUUUUGUAUCUUAUUUGUAUCUUAUUUUUUUUAUUGCUAUUUUUUGUUUCUAAUCGUUUUCUUGAUUUAAUUUUUUUUUCAAUUUUGUUUCUCAACAUUAUAUUUCAUUUAAAUCUUGUAUUGAACUUGGUACUCAUUUUUUUUAUUGCUAUUUGUUUUUUUUUUAAUGGAUGAUUAGGAUUUAGGAAUUUUGCUUCAUAAUUUUUUUUGUGUUUGCCUUCUAAAGGGCAAUUAUGGUCUCAUGACAUAGGUCACGGAUUUUAAAAAUUAGCCCGGUUUAACUUCGGUCUUUUUUAGGCCAUUGAUUGCUUUUAUGUGGGGUUAUCCCGAUCUUAGAUUUUAGAUCAUAAGUUGGUCGAGUUAACCCGAGUUGACCCAAGUUUUUUUUUUCAUUUUUUAAAUUGAUUUUUUUAGAUUAGUCUUUCAUCAUUUAGUUUGCUUAAGAGUUGACCUUCAUCGUUUUAUUCAAUUUUUUAUGUGUGAGUUUAUCCAUAUCUCAUGACCAGGUCGUGAAUUUGGUAUGCUGACACGGUUUUUUUUAUCCUUUUUAAAAUUGAUUUUCUUUCUAGAUCGUCCUUAAAUGUUUGCUUUGCUGAUAAUUGAGCUUCAUAUUUCUUUUAUUUUUUUAUGAGGUUAUCCCGUUCUCAUUCGAUUUUGUUUUGUUAUCAAAUAAGAUCGUUAAGACUUUUUAAUAAUAUUUAGAAGGUCUAUUUUUGUAAUAUUUAUAAGCAUUUAUUUUUUUAUUAGUCAUUAUCAUUUUUUAUUGUUAUUUGAUUUUUUUAAUAAUCAAAUUAUUAAAUUAAGAAACUUUAUUGAAUCCAUUCAAAUCAUUGAUCUGUCUCAAAUUUUUCUUUCUCUUUUAAAAACACUAUCAUUGUCUGGACAUUUUUUUUUAACAAUAGAAAACAUUUUGUUAGGCCCGCGUCACAGGGUGGGCUACGUUUCCUAUUUUCUUAAGAGAUAUUCAUAAAAGAAGGGUAGUAUUUGGAAUUUGAUGUUAGUUUAUGUAAAGUUUUUGUUUUUUUUAAUAUAUAUAUUGGGAAUGUAGUUUACAGGAAGUUGUAAAUGUAUCGAUGCUGAGGCUAUUUAUCCUAAACCAAAGCAUAUUUGUUUUACAUGUAAGGCUCCGUUUGUUUGCAGGAAAGUUGUUUCCUUUUGGAAAGUGAAUUCCGGGGAAAGUGAAUUCCGAGAAAGUAUUUUCCGAUGUUUGGUAGUGUUAUGGAAAAUGAACUGGAAAACACUUUCCAGUGUUUGGUUAUGUUAUGGAAAAUGAACUGGAAAAUAAUUUAUUAAUGAAUUAAUUUUUUUUCAAGUUUAUCUAAUAUAUAUUAAAUAUUUAAUAUAAAUAUUUAAUCACUUACAAUAAAAGAAUGAAAUCUAAAAAGUAUAAUGAUGAAUUUUUUUAUUAUAUCUUAUAUUCAUACAUAGCUUAUUUUAUAAAAUAUAACUAUAUAUGUCAUAUCAUAUUAUAGAGAAAUAAGCUUGUGAAAUAUUUUUUAAGUUAAAUAUAUUUUUUUUCAAUUUUAAAAGCUUAAAAUAAGUUUUUUUUUUUAUAUGAAGAAAGCCAAAUUAGUUUAUGGUAAGAGUUAUAUAUUACAUUAGAUUAACAACUAUUUUAAUUUUAAUUUUUCGUCACUGGGAACCAAUUAAAUUUAAUUUAGAAACAAAAAUGUCUUGUAAUUACAAUAAAAUGAUUUAUAAAAUCCUUAUGUUUGGAUGCUGGGCCACCCACCCCCCUAAAAAAACGUUCACAUGUUUGUUCACAUGUUUUGUGAACAAAAGAAAGGAAAAUGUUUUCCUUAAAAUAAGGAAAGGAAAACACUUUCCUGGCUUAAAGUGUAUUAUCUUCCUUUGACCGGAAUUUGAAUUCCUUUGACUAGUUUUCCUUAUAGUUGUCAAACAUUGGAAAGUGGGGAAAAUGGUUUCCAGGAAAAUGAAUUCCUGGAAACAAACAAGGCAUAAGGUUGAAGUGUGAUUAUAAACCCUUUUGAUUUGUACUAGAUUUUUUUUACCUGCGCUACGUUGUGGGAUGGGUUUAUUUUUUUAAUAUAAAAAAGAUAUUCAAAUAAUGAUAACAUGAGUGAAUUCAGAUUAACUUAACUAACCUGCGAUUCAAGUUAACCCUAGAGAAAUGAAAGGGAAAAAAUAGAAAGCUCAAGGCCUAAUAAAUCUAAUUUCAAAGGAUAAAAUUAAAAAAAAAGAAACAUGAAAGAAAAAAAACCCGAGUUAACCCAACUUUACUCUAUUAACCUACCACCCAUGACAUGAGAUUGGGAUAAGAAAUUUAAUUUUUUAAAAAUGACUUAGAAAAAAGGAUCAAAGCUAAAUAAAUAAAAAAACAUUGAAGAAAAACCAAGUCACCCUAGGUUAACCUAACAAACCUGUAACUUGAGAUAACCCUAUAGAAAGAAAUAAUAUAUAAAAUCAAAACCUAAUAGCCCUGCGUAAAAGGAUGAAAAAAAAAGAAAAAAAAAUCCAAUGCAACUUGUGUUAACUUAACUAACCCAUGACUCAGGAUAACCCUAGAUAAGGAAAGGAAAAAAAAAUAGAAAGCUCAAGACUCAAUACCCUAAAGUCAAAGGAUGAAAUUAAAAAAAUAAAACAAAUCAAAGUUAAAAUCAGGCUAAUCUUUAAAACCAUCAACUCUUGUCAUGAGACCAAGAUAACCUUACAAAAGACAAACAAAACUCUUCACCAUAAUAUUUUUUUUUAAAAAAUAGUAAUACAAUUAAUGAGGACCUAAUUUGAUCUAAAAACUAAUGAAAGAAAAUAAUAAGGGACUUAAUAAAAAAAUAAAAGGAUAAAAAAAUUUAAAAGAAUUAGGGCUAAAACUAGAUAAAAAAUGAAAUAAAAUGUUGAAGGACAAAUUGACAGAAAAAACAAAUUAAGAAAAGGAUAAAAAAAAAGCAAUUAUAAGAAUAAAGACCAAAAUUUGAUUAAAAAAAUAAAAUGUUAAGGGAAUAAUUGAAAGAAAAAAAGAAACUAAGAAAAAGGAUAAAAAAAAAGCAAUUAAAAGAAUGAGGAAUCAAUUUGAAAAAAAAAAGUGAAAUAAAAUGUUAAGGGACAAAAUUAAAAGAAAACAAAACAGGCCAUGAUAUGGAAAAAAAAUAGUAAAGAGAAUGAGUACUAUAUUUGAUAUAAAAACAAAACAAAAUCAAAUGAAAAAAGGAUGAAAUUGAAAAAAAAUCUAAAAAAAAAUCUAAAACAAUGAAAGACCAAUCAAAAGAAAGAGGAUUAUAAUUGAAAGACAAAAUGUAUUAGAGGACAACUUUGAUUUUUGGCUGACGUAGCACAAAUUUCAAGAAUUGAAAAGAGAAAACAAGGGGACGAAAAGAAAAGUCAACUGUCGACAAACCACCAUGAUUUGAGCAACACGCGCUACCCCAUAAGCUUUGCCUCCACCGGACACUUUAGACAAAAUCUUGGUUGGGAAAUUUUGGUCACUGCUUGACGAGCGCAGAUAGCGUCCACUCCCUAACACGCGUUGUUCACGGGCUAGUAGCCUUUUUUAAUUUAUGAAAAUAAUAAUUUGCCCUAAUCCAAAUAGAGUAUAAGAAAAACUAUAAUAAAAAUAGUAAAAUAUCCUUUGACCAUCUUUUUAUUUUAUUUUUACUUUGAAGUCGAUGAGGUAAUUGUACUAUUUGUAAAAAAAAAGAAAUUAUACAAAAGCUUUCUUAGCCUUUCAUAUUUUUUUUUUGUCUUUUAAAGGCAUUUAUUUAAUUCAAUUAUACUAAAACAAUGUAAACUACUAAACUUUCCCCAAUAAAAUUGCAAAUGAUCUUUGGGUUUUAUGGAAAAUACCAUUCUAGCACCACAAGUAAGGCAAAAACUUUAUACAAAGAAGGGCAAAAUAGUAAUUAUGCUGUCCAAGUCCAUAGUGAAUUACCUCAACAUCCACAACGAAACAAUGAUCAGUUUUAGAGUUUUUUUUUUAUAAUAUUUAUAAGAUAAUAUAUUUUAUGGCCUCACAUAGAAUUCAAAUGCUUAAUGAUAACUCAAAGAAAAAACUCAUUUGUCGACAAACUAAGCCUGCAAUAUUGUAAUUCUUUUGUUUCCUAAAUUAAGUGUAAAAGAUAAUUUUGUCCGUGAUCUAUUACACCACUUUAAAUAUGAUCCUUAAAAACAAAAAAAAAAUCCUACCAGGUCCCUCAUCUAUAGGAUAUUUACUUAUCAAUUCUCAAUUUAAUUUUUCCCCUUUAAAAUCAUAAAAAAAACUUAGUCAUUUUUUUCAAUGCAAUUGGAGCAAAUGAUCUCUUUUUUUCAUCUCUAUUUUUUUCUAGCGACUAUCUCUCAUCUCUCAUACAUAGAGACUAAAAUGUUGAAAAAAAAUAUCAAAGGACUAAAUCAAGUCGACAUUUGUUUGACAACGCAAUAACUCAAUGGUAAUCAAAUUGAUACAAAUUAUGAAACCUGGUCUAUAAUAAACACAAUGUCAAAAGAUUAAAUAAAAAAAUAAAAAAAAAAAUGAAAUCAAGAGCCACUCUAGAUUCCUUCUUAAUGUUUGCCCUUCAUGGUAUGUUGUUCUCACUAAAAUGGAUUUUAUGAAAUUUAUUAUGUUUUGCCUUAUAAAUGCAUGAAUUGAAGUUUAAUAAUCACAUUAAAACCUUACACACGAAAAACAACUUACCUGUAAUAAUAAUGGUAUCAGAAACUCUUUUGGUAAGCGAAUGGUUAUGGAUGUUAAGUCAUGACUUCGUCAUAGUAGAGCACCCUGUAGCUUUUUAAAAGAAAAAAACAAGGGACCUGUAAUGUUUAUGUUUGUUUGUUGCUGUGUCUAACAUAUACCACCAAUCGAUCUUGAAUCUGUGUUUAUAAUCACAGCUGAAAUUAUGUUUUUUUUUAAUUUUCUAUUUUUUUUAAUUUUUUUAUGUUUUUGAAUUGUUUUGAUGUACUGAUAUCAAAAAUAAUUUUUAAAAAAUAAAAAAUAUAUUAUUUUGAUAUAUUUCUGAGUAAAAACAUUUUAAUAAACAACCACUAAUAAACUUUCAAAUAUCAUCUUAACCAUACAUUUGAAUGGUCAUUCAAUAUUUCUAGUGUUCUUACUUAUUGGUGAAUUGAUGAUGCACAUGUUAUCAUCAAUAUUUGUAAUUUCAAAAUCACUUAUGUUGCUUCUACAAAAAAACCAAAAAACUAAUAAGGUUUUUUUUUAUCAUAAUUUUUUUUUCUUAUUUAGACUAUUUAUGAUAAGUGUUUUUUUAUUCAUUUUACGCUUUAAUUAAGAUUAAAAAUUUCUUUUAAACAAUUUUAAAGAUGCACUUCCAAUAUCCUGAUUACUAAAACAUAAAUCAAUCUUAAAAAAUAAUUUUUUAGCAUGCAUAAAAUGUAACUCAUUAAUUGUUUUUUCAAUUUUGAUUUAGUAUUGAAUAAGAAAACUUAAAAAGAUAUUUAUUAUACUAUAUUAAUUAAGUUUUUUUGUCAUGCUUCAUAACCCAUUUUUUACCCCCAGUUUUUUUCAUGUAUUUUCAAAUAUAUAAUUUUUUUAAAGAAUUUAUUUUAAAUGAAAUUUAGUCAAUUCCCAACGUUUUAUAUUUUUUUCAUUUUCAUUUAUUUUAUUUUAAGUGACAAAGAAAAAUAAAAAACUUAAAAACAAUAUAUAGUAAAAAGAAAAAUAAAAAAUUUAGGGAGUGAAAUCACAUGCAAAGGAAGAAAAAUGAAAGACUAGCAAAUGAAAAAUAAUAAUAAAUAAAUAGAGAAUCAAGAUGGGAUUGGAAAAACUGUAAAAAACAAAAAAAACCUAAUUCAAUAAGGAGAUAAAAUAGAAUCUUCCAAUAUUAUUAUUUUUUUUUGACAAAAACCCUUAACAAUAUAAAUAAACAUAAAAAAAAACCUAGAUGGAGAAAAAAAAAGAAGAAAAAACAUAAAAGGAGUCAACUUUAGAAACACAUAGACUAAGAGAGAGAUAAAAAAAGAGGAGAAAAGAUACAAAAAAGGGACAAAGAAAACCUUGCCACAUCUUUUUCAUCUUCUCUCCUCUCUCAAUCACAACUGCGAACCAUUGUUCUUUUCUCCCUCUUCACCACCAAUACCUCCACAAACAUCGACCAUGAUAGUUUCUCCCUCCACCACAUCUUUAUCUCUCUACCCGAUCACAAAACAUCCUUGUUAUUAACUAUAACCUUGGAAAUCAUAGCCACCACAUUAACUAAAAUCGCACUUAUCUCUCUUAUCAUUAUAAAACACUCCAUGGUAGCAACCCUUUGGCAUUCAAUAACCAUGAUCAUAACCAAUAAAGAGAAAAUUGACAAAUAAAAUUUAUCUUUUCAUGUCAACCUCCCUUUUCAGAUCACGACAAGCUUUAUCAUCAACGUAGAAAGGAAAAGAAGGAGCAUGAGAACUUGAUCUAGUAGGUUUAAGGUUUUCAACCUUGUCAUUUUGUACAGUUUAUGUGUUACUUCGUUUACAUGCUUGUCUAGCUCCUGCACAUGACUCCCAUCUGCCACGACUACCCGUUUUUUUAGUAUCUUUUGUUCGAUUCCAAUCGCUCUUGAAGGUCAAAUACGAAUCCUAAUACAUUGAUUCACUUGUUUUUAUCAAUUUGCAAUAUGUGGUUGAUUUCCUAUUCGUAGAUGUUGUAUUUGCCUACAAUGAUUUGCUUGUGUUGAGUAAUUUAUAAUACGAGGUUGAUUUUCUAUGUGUGGAUGUAUUUGUUUUUUUUAUUGUGAGAUUUGUGCUUUAAUUUUCUUAAAAUGAAAAGUUAUGUUUUAUUUUUAUUGAAGAAUUGACCUUGAGUAUGGUAAAAUGGUUUUGUCUUCAUAUGACCAUUUAAGUAUGGUAAAAUGGUUUUUAUUGAAGAAUUGACCUUGAGUAUGGUAAAAUGGUUUUUAUUGAAGAAUUUGCACAUCCAUUAAUUAGUCUUACUUUCAAACCCGAUGGUUUUUAUUGAAGAAUUUGCACAUCCAUUAAUUAGUCUUACUUUCAAACCCGAGUUAUGUUUUUUUCUUCAUAACCUUUUCAAUUAUGGACUGAAAAAAUAGAUUUUAAAAUCAAUUUAGGGGAUUUUUUUAUAAGGUUUUGGAAAAGAUAAGAAUAAUUGAUUUAUAACUUGCAAUUUAGGCAAAAUCACAUCACAAGUAAAGAGAAAAUGAAUCGAUUGAAUAUGCAAGACUAGGCUUUAGUUUUUAUGAUAUUUUGUGUUCUUAGAUAGGAGAGAAGAAAGAGAUUAUAUUUUUAAAUUAAUUUGGGAUUUUUUAGGAGCAUAUUUUGGCUAUUUAUGUUAUAUUAUAUAGGAGGGUAGGUUUGGGUUGUUUAUGUUCACAAGUGCCUUUUAAAAAUAUUUUGCUUGUUGGUUUUUUUUUUUGCCCCUUUAGUCUGAUAGUUCUAUGUUUUGAUAUAAAACUUUAUUUAAUUCACAUUCCAAUUCCCGGGUUUGAAAAAUGAGAUUUAUUGGAAAAUUAUGGAGAGAGAAAGUAAUGGAAUGGUGAGAUUUCGUUGAUAAAAGGUUAAAUUUGGUGUCAAUGUGUUUUUCUUGGCAUAAGAAGUGUUAUUGAGGUAUUUUUGAGCUUUUAUGUUGUUAGAAAAAAUAGAUCGAGGUUAAGAGAAUUUUUUUUUUUAUGCUUUUGAGUUAAUUUAGAGGUUUUUAAGUUGAUAAAUAAAUUUAUCGUGAUUUAAAGGGUAUUUUUGGAAGUAAAAAAAUUGAAAUUUAAUUUUUUAAGUCCUAAAAAUCCUAGCUUGAUUUUCCACCAUCUCUCUAAUGGGUGAAAUUUGAACUCACAAAUAACACAUCAUCUACUUUCUUUUUUAACUCAUUAAAAAAGUCUAAAGGCAUGAACAUGGCCUACUUUUAGGUUUCUUUUUAAUUUCUUUUUAAUUGAAAUUUAAUUUUUGUAAUAUUAAAUAAUUUAAAAUAUUUUAGAUAUUAUUUUAUUAAAUGCCUUUAAAUUUUUACCUUGUUUCUGAAAAAAUAUAUCAGUCUUUUUAUAACAUUAAGAAAUGUUUUUUUUACAACUUAUAAUGAUUUUUUAUAAUUUUAUUUGGUUUCUUUUCCAUGUGCAUGUAUUUUUGCCAUCAUAUAAUUAAAUAAAACGAUAAUUUUUAAAAAAUAAAGUUAUUAAAAUCAAUAAGAUGUGUGAGCUUGAAUCAUGAUUUUAGUGAGUUAACUCAAGUCAAUCCAAGAUGUUUUCAUCUCAAUAUUUUUUAAAAAAAUGUCAUCUUUAAUUAAUUUUAAACAAAAUUAAUUUUUUAUUAGUUACCGAGAUUACCUUUGAACCCUUUAGAUUGAGCAGAUCAUAUCAAAUUAAUUUUCACAUGGUUUAAUUUAAAAUUUAGAUAAAAAUUUAAAUUAAAGGUUUUAAAAAUUACUUAACCCUAUUAAAGAAUCCACUAUAACAAUACAAGAACAUUGUUUUUCCAGCUGUGAUGUCUUUUAGUAAGGAAACGUUUCAGAAUGUAAAUGAUAUUUUUUAAAAAAUUAAUUUUUUUUUGUUUAAAUUUAAUUUUUUUAUAUUUUAUUUUUUUUUGAAAUUUUAAUAUUAAAAAUAACUUAAAAAUUAAAAAAUAUUUAAUUUAUUUUUAAACAAAAUUAUUUUUAAAAAAACCACCACUAAUAUAAUCUUAAAUAUUAUAAAAAAUGCAAAAACAAUAUAAAACACAUUGUAUCCAGAAAGAAAAUAAGAAGACGACUCGCACGCGCACACUGAGAGAGUCAGAUAUUUACCUGCAAAAACAGAAUGAUGAACAAAAAAACCCAUUUUUGAUAAGCUAAGAAAGAAUUCAAAUCUCGCUCUCGUUGGGUUUUAAAUCUCAUUUUCGGAGCCAAAUCCAUUUCUAAAACUUUUUCUUUCUUUUGUUGGCUAAUGUAGGUUGCCUUCUGUUAAUGUUGAGGUUUUGUUUUGUCUAGUUUGGUAUCAUAAUUCUCUUAUGAAUCAGUUUCCCAUGGAAUUCCAUUGAUUUGAUUUAUUAGAACAGAUAGGUAAGAAUUGAAUUCCCUUUCGUUAUUUGAAAGGAUAAAUGGGUAUUAGUGCAUUUGGGAUUUGAUUGAAAUUUAAAAACUGGGUUUUGUUUUCAGGAGUAAUUGCUGGUGGGUUUUGCGACUUAGACCCUGAUUUUGAGGAAACAGGGGGUUUCUUUCUUUUGGUUUGGCAUUGCAUAAGGAGAGGGGAAGUAGAGUUGUAGGUAUUAAAAAUCAGGAGAGAAGUGGGUUUUGGCUUUUGACAGAGAAUGAUUUGUAUAGGAGAAAAGGUGACAUGAGAAGUAGAGUUAUUGUUGGUCCAGAGGUACAAUGAAUGGAGGGUCAUUCGGUCAAAGGGGGAGUUAUGGAUCAUUGCCUUGCUACGGAAAAUUAUCAAAUAUUGCACGAAAACAAUCUUCGAAAAUGCCGCCAGUGAGUUCAAGGGACAAGGAGCGGGUUCUCCUGGUUGUUUGCCGGUGCUUGGGGCGUAGAAGAGUUGCAAUGUUGCUCUUGGUUGCACUUGCUCUCCUAGUUUUCAUCUGGGGUUCCCUUACAGUUAGCAAAGGUAUGGUUCAAACAUGUGUCCUUUCCUAUGAUGUAAAAUGUUUGAGUGUUUUAUGUAUUCUUUUGUUCUACCUGUCCUUAUAUUUUGGUACUGUUGCACUGAGUUACAGGAGGAUGAAAGUUUUCUAAUUACAAGGAAAUAAUCACUUAACAAAGGAAUAGUUUAGGCACCUAUUUAUUAGUUCAUGCUGACUAUUCUAUAUUUAACAGAAAAGAUAAAAUGUAGUAGUGUUUUAAUUCUAUGAGCAUCUUUUAAUUUUUCCUGUUGUUUGAAUGGAAAUGUUUAAGUCAUGUAUUAUUCAUGUCUUGAGAGCAGCUGUAGCAUGCAGUGAGGAGGGGGGGUGGGGAACAAGAAAUAAAGAGGUGGAGGUGGUUCUUCAUGAAUUUUGGUUCCCAUAUAGGUGUGGGCCAUGAUUGAAUAAUGGCCUUGUUUCUAUUAGUUCUCAUUCUGUGCUAAAUCCUUGACAGGAAAGCUGACAGCCAGAGAGUCUUCUUCUUUCUCUCUCUCUAUUUUCAAUCUUGAAUGGAAAGCAUACGAAGACAAAGUUGUCUUCUUGAAUUUAAAACAGGAGAUAAUCAAUCGAUUACAAAUAUUGAUCAGAAUGAAAGAUUCUGUUAUCAAGUUAUUUUUCUGCAUUUAAUUGAUGAUGUCAAAGUCCUGAAAUACUUGGGAUUUUUACUGCUAUUUGUUUUGCUUUAGACUGGUUGAGGCAAUAACUAAUGUGCAUUUUGUGUUAUGGAUGCCCCAGAAACCACAAGUCCAACUGUUAGACCAAUGGAUAGUAUACAUUUUGACAACAGUGAUAUAAUAAGCCAUCCUUCUGUUGCCUGUCGUUCUAGAGCUAAUAGCAUAUUGGACCAUCCAUGCCACAAGUUUGCUCUCCCUCCUCCCCCUCCUUCUGGUGGACGACGGUUUGGACCACGCCGUAAGUUUUGGGUUAUUUUGGUUGAAGUGUUCCUUAUUUUCUUGUUUUUCUGAUCAUUCUAUUAAUAUAUUGGAUUGGACCAUAAGUUUGAGUUGCUACAUCUGUGCGUCAUUUGGAAGUAAAAAAUGACUUCUGGCCUGAAUGUUACUAAAAGUCAUGUAUAUAAUUUUUCUUGCACCAAGAAUGUGCUCUCACAUUUCUGUAACAGAGAAAACUGGCAUGUUUUUGCAAUUAAUGUUAUUAUCUUUCUCAUCAGUGUUUGCUACAGAAGACCUCUUGCAUGUUCAAUUGUAAAUUGAUACAAAAUAACCCUCAAUACCUUUGUAUAAAGUAUGCCAAAAUCUACUCUCUUAGUUGAAGCAAAAAAGUGCUCACAUGCAAUUUAUUUCUGUUGGUGUGGUAUUUACUUUGUUGUCACUCAUUUGUUAUGCAGCUUGUCCAGUAUGUUACAUUUCUGCAGAGCAAGCUAGAGCUAGCAUUCCAUGCUCCUCAUCUGCAUCACCAGUGCUCCGCAACUUAACAUACGUUGUUGAUGAAAACCCAAUUAAAAUUGAAUCACAUGGAGGUUCAGAAUUUGGUGGAUAUCCUUCUCUAAAGCAGAGGAAUGAAUCUUUUGAUAUACAAGAGUCGAUGACAGUGCACUGUGGGUAGGAGUCCUUCUCACCUAUCAUCUUUCUGUAAAAUUAUAAGCAUUGAAGACUGUUUUGCAUGGAUCUCAUGAUCUCUGUCCUCCGUUAUUAUACAAUGUCCUGUAACAAAUACGAAUAACUUAUUUCUUAUAAACACAUAUUUUUCUGUUGGCCGUAUUUUUUAUCAGAUUUGUUAAAGGAAAUAGACCUGGCCGCCAGACUGGAUUUGAUAUUGAUGAAGCUGACCUGAUGAAAUUGGAAGAGUUUCACGAGGUCAUUGUUGCAUCAGCCAUAUUUGGUACUGUUUAGCACUGGACAUUCUGCAAAGAUUUCUUGUUUUAUCCAUGUUUUCUACUUUCCUCAUCAUUGCACUUUCCCAGGGAACUAUGACAUAAUACAACAGCCCAAGAACGUUAGUGAAGCAGCUAGGAAAAAUGUUCCUUUUUAUAUGUUUAUUGACGAAGAGACAGAAACAUAUUUGAAGAAUUCCAGCGCCCUAGAUAGCAAUAUGAGGAUCGGACUGUGGAGGAUUAUUGUCGUCCAUAACAUCCCCUACACUGAUGCAAGACGCAAUGGAAAGGUCAGUUUGCAUUUGUUUGGUUGCUUUGCCUGCUUCUUUCAGAUUUCUCUCUUUAAUUUCCUUGGGCAUCCAAACCUGGGCUGGAUUACAUCACUUUCUUCUUAAUUUUUUUUCUUCCCCUUGUUCUCCUGCUUCUCUGUUAACUCAUUGAAAACAAAGCUAUCAGUUUGUUAACAAAUUUCUGUUUAUCUCUUGGUGAGUCUUCAAGUAAUUUCAAUUUUGGUGCUAAUCCUAGCAUGGCAGAAUUUCCUGAAUAAAUUUCUGUUGAUAUAUUAAUCUAAAAGAUUUUCCUUUUUUUUUCCUUUUCAUUUUUGUUUUGGGCUAUGAUAUUCAAUAGUACCUCAUACUUCAAGUCAUUUUCUUUUCAAUUACUGAAAACCUAAAAUGUUGCUGCAAGAAGUGAUGGAUGCUGUCGUUGUGCUAUGUAAAUGGACAGGUUCCAAAGCUUUUAUUGCACAGGCUCUUGCCUAAUGUUAGGUAUUCCAUAUGGAUAGAUGGAAAGCUCCAGCUUGUUGUGGAUCCAUAUCAAGUUCUUGAGAGGUAUAUUGUUUGUGCUUAAAUUAAGUGGUCAUUGAAUGGAGUCAUUCAGAUAUGUAAAAUGGCUUGUGAAUUCAGUGCAUCUUUUUUUUUAAUUUUUCUGGUAUCUUCAAAUUGAGAUGUAUGGAAAUUUUGUUGUACCUGUGUGUGUAUACUCAUUUUCUUCUGUUAUCUGUCACUGUACCAAUUUCUGGUCCCAACAUGGCAUCACUUCAAAAGUUAUGAACCAUCAUAAGUUUCAUUGGUUCAUCAAUAGGCAACUUACGGGAUUCUGGAAAAAUGCAUGGAAAAUAUAAUUAUAGCCGUAUGCUCUUUUUAUCAGCUGUCUUGCAAUGUUAACAUUAUUACACUGUUAUUGAUCCUACAUUUUCAUUUAAAGCAUUCAAAAAAGGAACUGCUUUUCUUGCUUGGGACAUGGGAAUGUCAUCUUUCUGUUGGUUUACAGUAACUCAUGCUUUGGCAAUGUGUUCUGGAUAUGUUGACUCAUGUUAAGACAGUUUUUUUAGUGUUAGCAUUUACCAUAUAGAUCUUCAUGCAUAUUGCAUUUCUGGCCUCUAGAAGAAGGGGAAAUAGGUAGAUAAUUUUAGUAUAAUUGCAUAAUCUAUGUGUUUGAAUCAUACCUGAGCUGUCCUUUGGUUCAGAUUCUUGUGGCAGCAAAAUGCCAGUUUUGCAAUCUCAAGACACUAUCAUCGCUUUGAUGUGUUUGAAGAGGCUGAAGCUAACAAAGCUGCAGGAAAGUGUGACAAUUCAUCCAUUGAUUACCAGAUUGAAUUUUAUAAAAAAGAGGGUUUAUCGCCAUAUUCCAAGGCUAAGCUUCCAAUAACCAGUGGUAGGUGUAUAAUCCUAUGUGUGUGCGCACGCGCUUCAUGUUCUUGAAGAUUUGUAUUUCUUAUGUUUUCUGCUCAAUGACUGACCUUUUGCAGAUGUUCCUGAAGGUUGUGUUAUCAUAAGGGAACAUAUUCCCAUCACAAAUCUGUUUACCUGCCUGUGGUUCAAUGAAGUUGAUCGGUUUACUGCCAGAGAUCAGUUAAGCUUCUCCACUGUGAGGGAUAAAAUAAUGGCUAAAGUUGAUUGGAGCAUCAAUAUGUUUUUGGAUUGUGAGAGGCGUAAUUUUGUGAUUCAGGUACAUGUUUAUGUGUUGUCUUUCUAUUAUCAGGGGAGAUGAAACCAGUGCAUCUAAAACUAAGCAAUUUGUUAUUGUUCUGCUCUAAAUGAACCUUAUAAGUGAACUUUUCUAAUGAAGUUGGCCAAAAAAGCUGAAUGACUUUAAUUUUAUUGUUAUAUUAACUUAUGUAUUUUUUUUCCUUCCAUGUUUAACAUUGAGCAGCACCUCCUUCCUCUGUUGAAAGAGGAAAGUAUGACAAUUUAUUAUUGGUCUGCUCUAUGUUGCCUGUUUGUCUUAUUUAUUAUUGGUCUGAUUUUAGCCGCAAAUGUUCCUUGUUUCCCAAACACAGAGUUCUGGCAACUAAAUGGAUCCUCUGACAACAGUGUAUUGAACAAAGCUGUCCAGCUACUAUAUACAGUGCACGAGACUGAUCUCUAUGGGUGUCUUUGAUCCCUUCUCUAUUUUUUGAUCCUCCAAGUGUUUCUUUGGGUGUUUAAUGUGGUUACUCCAUGCAUUUUAUCAUGUUCUCCAUACAAGUGACAUUUGAGGCUAAAUUCCGUCCUGGGAGUGCAGCUAGUAUGCUUUGACCAAAUGAUGCUAAAAGCAGGAACGAUCAAAUAAAAACAAUCUUUAAUGGGGAUAAUUAACUUGGAUUUAAAAAAUAAAACUCCUAUGCUUUGGGAUGCUAAAUCCUACUACUAUUAGUUUCUCUGUAACAAAAUGCCACUGUUUUAUGGUACUUUUAUGCCACUUGAUUUUUCUUUUGACUUGCAGGCUUACCACAAAGAUUUAUUGGACCACAUGCCACCUCCAGUUGCUCAUGUUAUUCGACAUCCACCACCAUUACAUCGUGAUAGUUCAGCUGGGAGAAACCCAAGUAAAAAUUCAAGGCGUGGAAGAGAUAGGAGAUCUGGUUCAAGGCAACACCGCAAGGCUGCUGCGGGUAACAGGGAGAAGCAAACCUUUUUGUAGGAGAGGUAAAAGUAGGUGUUUUUUAUUUUUUUUCAUUAUACUGCACGGGGAAGAUGGAUUUGGUUAGAAGUAUUUAGAAUGACCCAAAAACAAAAGCAACCGAAAUUUUGUUUGAAAUUAUUGAUAUCUCAUAUUCUUUCAUUGUUGUAAAUACUUCAUACCAAAUAAGUCCACACCAGCUGCAAUCAUUGAAUGCUUCUUGAUUUUCAUUUACUUGGUGCACGAACAUGCAUUGGCCAUCACUUGUGUAUCUUGAAAAUGUCAGCUUUCAUGCUUUAUGCGUUGUCCAGUUAUAGAAAUGGAAGAUAUACUUUCUACAUUGGCCAUCACUUGUGUAUCUUGAAAAUGGCAGCUUUCAGGCUUUUUGCGUUGUCCAGUUAUAGAAAUGGAAGAUAUACUUUCUAUCCUCUAUACAAUAAAUACCGUGCCAUCCUGAGUGCGGAGCGACUAAUCCUUGUUCUUAGGAGUGUUGUUCAUCUUCUCUUUUGAGCUAUUAAGAUGCACUGCUUAUUCUGCUUUUCUAAGCUUGAAUCUGAUCUUUCCUUCAUGUGUUCUUCCAAGGUUUUGGGAAUGAGUUGUUUAAUUCUAGGGCAUUUGUAAGAUGAGAAAAUCUUAGUGUUUUCAGGCCUACGGAAUGUUUCCUAACCUGUGACUGUACAAGUAAAUAGGAAGAUUUCUGAACUGGCCUCGUCCAUGCUCUUACCUCAAUACCCAGAUUGAAAAUUUUGGUACCCUAUAUGUUGAAUCUCAUGUUUCUCCACUCUUAUCAAAUCCUCAACUAAAUUCAAAAGCAGGAAUUGAAAGUGGAAGGAUAGAUUAUCCUUCAACCCUACAGACAGCACAUAACAUGAUCCUUCAACCCUACAGACAGCACAUAACAUGAAAGGGUCUCACAGGAGAGGAGAGGAGAGGCCUAUCAGCAAGAUACAAGUUCCAGUGGUGAGAAUCGACCAUACACUUAAAAUAACAUACAAUGAAGUAUACCUGCAAAAUAUAACAGCUGUAUUGAAUACAAUAAUGGCUUCUUCUCUGUGAUGAUAAUAUAAUAAUGUGGUUUUGUCAUUCGAUUUGCAUACAGAACAGAGCAAUACAGCUUGAGAUAUGUUAAAAGUAUUCUAUGGAUCCAUUUUUUCAAGUGCAUGCCGAAAGCACUUUUGACAAUUAAAAGCAACCUCAAGUUUUAGCAAGUUCGAGUUAAACUAUAAAGGUUCACACUUUUUAGGCAUUGAUUCUCAUUUUCUGUUAAUUAUUUCUUACUCUUACAGUUCAUUUUAUAAACAAUUUUCUUAAUUCGAUGAUAAAAGAAAUAUCUUCCUAGUAUCAGUUAAAAUUUGAUAACACCUGCAGCUCAACUAAUAAGAUGCAUCGAAGAUGAUGUUGAAGUUAACAAAUUGUCAUGACACUUCCUGUUAGCUUUUUUCUCUUGUUUAAAAUUAUUAUUUUGAAAUUAUUUUAAUAAGCUAAUAUUAAAAAUAAAUUUUAAAAAAUAAAAAAAAUAGGACAUGAUAAAAGUUAUAUUUAUUACACCCUCUGUAGAUUUCUCGUGAGGAAGAAAGGUCGUGUGAACUUGAUCCUCCUACAUGACGAUACAUGGAUUCUAACUUCCAAAAAGCAAAAAUAAAAAAUUCCAAAAAGAGCUUUUCUUCUACAUUUAAGAUAAUUAGAAACACAAAGGGUAGAGGGUCGGCCAGUGAACAUGUGACCCACAAAUGUGGGAUUGCUAAGCACAAGAAGCAAAGAAAGGCAUAAAAAAACGAAGGCAUUUUGUGCAUGGGAGGAAGGUAUGGUAUGGGAUUAUUGAGAGCAAGAAAUCUCUAUGGAUUGCCACUUGAAAGGAUAUAAAACACCAAAUUAUUGCUUUCUCUACCACCUCUCUGUCCAAAUCUACAUACCUUAAUUAAAUAAGUCUGAGCCCACAGAAUUAUUAUAUCCAUUAAUUUAGCUCAAUUAUUAUAUCACCCAUAAAUGUCACAUCCAGAUCAGCACCAAUAAUUUUACCUUCCGUUCCAGUUUCAUUUCCCUUCAAUUUGUUUACAGCUUUAGGGUUUUGGGAUGCAAAAGGGUUUCCUGGAUCUGUCUCUCAACAUCUUGAAUUUGAGGUUAGGAUCCUAUAGUCUUUUAUUGGUGGAUUAAAGGGGUCUUAUAUUGAAAUUUGAGGUGGGGUUUAUGUGGGUUUUUCUUGUUUAAUACACUUUGAUUCAAGAUUUGUUUUCUUGGUACAAUUGGUGGGGGAGAUCAAGUUAUGGUCUUGAUUAAUGGGUUUAUCUUGGUUUUUGAGUCUUGGGUUGCUAUCGAAUUCUGGGCUUUAAAUCUUGAUCAAUGAUUCGAUCGUCUUUCUUCAAGAUCACACAUUUAAAAAAGUAGGUUUGAGGGCUCUUUCAAUAGGGUCGAUGUUACUCUUUUCUUGUAUUGUACUUUGGUAGCUAUGGUUUAAAGGCCUUUUCUUGUUGGGUUGAGCCAUUGUUUCUGAUAGAGUUAAAGAAAGGAGAGGGGAGAGUAGUUCUUUUUGGUGCUUGAUUAAAUGGGAUCCUCUGGCUUCUUUCUGAUAUGUAUGCUUCAUUCUGUGAUGGCUCUAACUUGUGGAGCUUUGAUGAUGUUUUACACAAAUGAGGCCACUGUGUUUGGUCAUGGCAUUGAAAUAGCUACAAAGCUUAAAGGUUCAACACCACAUGACCAACUCCUGGUCCAAACCUCUGAUUCCUUUUCUGGGUUGCUAUUGUUUGCCAUUGGGUUCCUUUUGUUCAUGGUGGCAUUUGUUAAGGACAGAGAGUUCCAGAGUUUCUUUGCUAAAGGUUGUGUCUUGCUACAUGUUUCAAUGGCUUUCUGGAGGAUUUACUUUGAGAGGAAGCUUGAAGAUCUGGCUCGUGAUUUGCCUAGACUAGUUGUUGGUGACAUUGCAUUGGCUCUUUCUUGGGUUUUCUUUCUUGUUUAUUCUUGGAGAGAGAAGUAUGAUUAGCAAGCUACAAGAGUCAGAUAGCCAGUCCAUCAUCGAAUAAAUUUGAGCUGUUAUUGUGGUAGCGUUACGGGUUCUGCCAAGUGGGAUCUUUUUUCCUGGCUCUGUUCUGUAAAUUACAGGGUGAAUCUGGAACUUUAAAGAAAUGGACGCAAAGCAUGGAUCGGAUUCUUGGUUAGUGCGCGUUUUAAAUUCUUGAUUGGAUCUUGAACAAGCUUGGAUUCCAAGAAAAGCUGGAGAUGAGAUCUGGGGGCUGCCAUUUUGUUUUUAAUUGAGAAUCUUCAACUUGAGAAGUUUCUUGCACUUACUGUGGUGCCUCUGUGGGCUUCUUGUAUUGAAUUUCAAUGGCAUUUGUAAAUCAACCUUCUUCAAAUAGAUAUUUGAUAAUAAUUAGAAAUGUGAAUCCCAUAAAAGUUUACUCGUUUGCUGCCAUCUCUUACUUUCCUGGCAAUCUUUUCUUGCUAUUUUUCCAGUCUAUUUGAUUUACUGAUAUUGCAAUUUGCACGCAUCCGCAGCUUUGAGUUUGGGACAAAACUAUGCCAAGACAUUUCCAGGAUUUUGUUAAGCAAUCCGAGGGAGGAAUGAUUUGUCUAAUUAAUCAAACGGCAAGAACUGUAAAUGGAGUCACACCAACUUUUAUUUUUUUAUUUUUUGGUUGUAUAUAUUAUAUGAAUUCUCAUCAUAUUAUAUCAUAUUAUUCGAGCUAUUUCCUCUUUGCAUUUCAAGAAUAAUUUGGAAAAAAAAAUAAUUUUAUUUAUUUAUUUUAAAUUAAUAAUUUUUUAAUAUUUUAAUAUUAUUUUGAUAUAUUGAUAUUAUUUAUCAUCAUAUUUUACAAGUUAUUUUGUAUUUGUAUUUUAAAAAUAUUUUUUUAAAAAAAUAUUAUAUUAUUACUAUUUUUAUUUAUUUUAAAUUAAUUAUUUUUUGGUGUUUUCAUAUUUUUUUAAUGUAUUAAUAUUAAAAAUAAAAAAAAUAUUAUUUUAAUAUAUUUUUAAAUAAAAAUUAUUUUAAAAAAUAAUUAUUAUUAUAAAAUCAAACAGAAUUUUAAUCUUUUAAUUUAUUGAAGAUUGACCUUAAUUUUUGUUGCAAACAUAAAAAAAAAAAGUUAUAAAGAAGGGGGAUUAUACGACUUCUUAUCUUUUCCGAUGCUGAAAUUUUAUCAUUCUAAAAAUAAUAAUUAUUAUUCCUAUAAUAAUAUUUUUUAUUUUGAAAAAUAACUCUUAAAUUUAUAUGGAAGGAAAACUAAAAUUUAUUGAAAAUUAUUUUUAGUUGGUUUGAGAGUGUGAUUAUUUUUUAAAAUAUUUUUAAUUUAAAAAUAUAUUAAAAUAAUAUAUUUUUUAUAUCAUCAAAUCAAAUAAUCUAAGAAAAAUUAAUUUUAUUAAAAAAAAAGAUUUAGCUUCUGUUUCAGCCGCAAUCCGAGUGCUUAUUCUACGUUAAAAAGAAAAGUAUAUGCUGUUAUUGGACCAUGAAGGCUCGGCCCACGGACGCCACAACAUCUUGUCUAGGGACCCGUUUCUUUCUUCUUCUUCUUCUUCUCUCUCUCUGAAGUUUCUAGCAUUCAACCACAACAGAAACCCUGCAGAGCCCCAACUCCUGAAACCUUUGACAAAAUUCUAACGGUAACUUAUUCUUUUCUUUUGCUCUUUCUAUGUUUCCUUGUGUUCAUCUGUUCAUUUAUUGUCUUUUAAGUUGUAGAUGGUCUGUUAUGGUUUAGUGUUUUGCUUUGUUUCUGGUUUUAUUGUUUGAAUAAACUUUUUUCUUUUUCUUUUUUCAGAAUUGUUAUUUGCUUUUGUUUUUUCUUUAAUUCUAAUUGUUAUGAGGAAAGGUCAUCAAAAGCUCAAAUGGUUUUAUCUUGAAGAUGAUUUUUUAGUCAAGAAUGCAAUUUUGUAAUGGCAAAUGAUUAUAAUUGGUAUCAUUAAUUGAUUUUGGUUUCUGGGUAUAUGUUUUGCAUAAAUUUCAAUAUUUAGGUUCCGUUUUAAAGAAGAUACUGUAGUUUUCAAGAUAGUUGAGAAACUGAGAACAUGAUAGACAUGAUCUUUCACUGCUAUGAAAAGGAUGAUCAUGCCGGAGUUCUUAGAGAAAAAGGUCGGAUUUUUACUCGAGGAAAAUGAAUUAUUUAUUUUUUUAAAAAAAAAAGUUUGGUUACUUGAAGUUAUUGAUUGGGAAGCUUUCAUACUGUUGGUUCUGAACUUGGGUGAAGCGCAAUUUUGAACUUUUUAAGUUUCUAUUUUCUGUAUGUUGAUUUUGGGUAUAUAGUUAGUCAGUUGCAUAGAGUACUGCUAUAUAACACAAAAAUAAGUUAGCGAAAAGUUCACAAGCAGAUAAAGUGGCCAGAGAAGUGAUUUCGUUCAACUUUUGGGCUAUUUAUUUUUUGUGCCUGUUCGUGUCCUAUUUGUUACAAAAUAUUCGUGUUAUACAGCUUUCUUCAAUUGGGUAAUUGAGAAGCUUGGUUGAGUUAAGUUGCUUCCUGGAUUUAAAAAGAAAUGGGGUGUCUUUUUUGAGUGGUUGUUUCCUUGAACCCAUAUAUAAGUGCAUUUAUAUUAGGCUUUUGUGAUUGCUUCUCAUGACUGUGUCAGAAUCAGAUUCAUCGGUUUGAUUGAGUAUAAUGUUGACAGAUUUUUGGCCAAAUGUCUAAUUUUUAUGAGGGGAAAUGGGAAUAUGAACAAAAACAAACCUUUCAUGUUGUUGAUUUACCACGCGGAGUACUUAAUCAGGUCUUAAGUUUCUGUCUUAGUAAGCAAAACAGCACUUAAUGGUAUGGCAGUGUUUCAAAUUGUUUGAUGGAGUCGGAUAUCAUACUGAAUUGCUUGUGCUAUGAGCUGCAUUAGAAGGAUGAUUAGUGAUCCCUUUGUAGGAAAACAAAUUGGGAUAUGAGCAAAUCUCAUAUGGUGGAGGACAGUCAUGCAAUGGAACAUCUGAACAAAAAUUUUGAAUUGUUUUAGUGGAGUUGAUUGAUUGGACAAUUUGUAGAACAAGGACUCCAGGUGGCAAAGGCAUUAAUUGGCAAAAAGAGAGAAAAGAAAAGGUGCACUUUUUUCUGAUGAAGAAAAAGAUGUCUCUAUUCACAACAGAAAAAAUCUCCUCUUUUUUUUUUUUCUGAUGAACCAAGCAAUUGCAAGCAGCUAGUAAUGAACAACAAACAAUACAGUAAUGAAGAAAUAGAUGUCUCUCUAUUCACAACAGAAAAACUCUCCUCUAGUGAAUUGUAUAAUCAUUGGAAUUAUAACAACGAAAAAAAACCUAUGUAAUGAGUUUAUAAAUAGAGUAGAGGCUCUUGAAUGAUUUUCUUCAUUCCUUUCUUUAUUUCUUUAUGCCUUACAUGUGUUUUCUGCAGAUUUGUGAUGGGUGGACUGCCUUUGCAAAAUGCUUCCCCUACCCCAGUUGUCAGCCAGGUGUCAGUAAUUACAAAUUCUACUAAAGAAUCAAAGCCCAAGAAGAAGAUCUGCUGUGCUUGCCCUGAAACUAAGAAACUAAGGGACGAAUGCAUUGUGGAGCAUGGUGAAGCUGCAUGCGCAAAAUGGAUUGAGGCUCAUCGACUGUGCCUCCGUGCUGAGGGCUUUAACAUUUGAGUUUGGUAGAUAUGGUUUAGUUCAUAAAUCAAUACCAUUUUGGAAUAUAGAAUACUUGUUUUGGAAUUACACAUACUGAAUAGGAGGAAUAAAGCUAGAAAACACAGGUUUUCUUGACCUUCUGUACUUGCAGUCAUUUUUAUCUUCUUGAAUUAUGAUUUCUUUCCUUCCUCUGUGACAAUUGAAAAUGAUCAGAAUCCUUGGGUGGGGUUGAUAUUGUGUUGUCUCUUCUCUUUGUCAGUGUUAUCUGAUUAUUUUUUGAACCUGUGAUUUUACAGGCAGAGGAAAGUUGUUCCUCUGAUGUAUUGCAUUCCUUACAUGCCAAUAACUCUCCCAUUUGUGAUUCCUUAUUUAAAUUCCAUUACGGUGUUAUGUAUUGUUCUGAACUUCUGAUGAUAGAUUAUAGACUCUCAUCUCGUACUUAUGCAAGCUUAUCCUCACAUGUUGAUUGUUAUCCUUACAAGUAGCAGUUGCUAAGGAUGAAGUGAAAAGUUAUAAUCUGAAGUGUAUUGUCCAGAAUUAGACAUUCUCAUCAACUUUGCUGCAACCUGAAUUAUCCUCUCUGUCACUUUUGAGCCAUUAUAUCUCCCUUGAACUCAAGUGAGCUUGUCGAAGGGCUGAGAAGCAACUCUGAGAGGAUAACUCUGGGUUAGAACGUCUAACUUGGACAAUGCAUCUUCAGACAAUAACAUCUCUUAUCUUCUUAUUUCAUCUUUGCAACUUCUAAUCACUGCAUGCCAGGCCAGUUCUAUCUUCUUUGUCAAUAUCGAGAACAGAUUCUCCUAGUUUUAUAACUCGCGAGUUCUAUCUUUUUUAUUCAUUGCUUCCUAUGCUAAUUGUCAUUUAGUUCAGAGAACAGAUUCUCCUUUUUUUUUUUUCCUUCCUUAUCUGUGUCCAUUGGCUAUAAAAUGGAAAAGGUAAAUAAGAAGAGAAAUCUAGACGUGUGAGUUCAAAGAGUUGGUUGACUGCAAGAAUUUCAAACUGGAAGACAUAUUAGGUCAUCUUUCAUGGUAUUUCAAAGCUUGUACACUACAUUUCAGAUUGUUUGCCAAAACUUCAGUGAUGAAACAGGAAAAUGGAAAAAACCCAGUCUUCUUCUCAUGUUUCUUUUACGUUUUAUGUUUGUAGUCUAGUGAUAAGUUUAUGCCCCUCCUUUAUGGUAUUUGCACUAUUUUGGUCGUUCUACAUGCUGCGGUUAAUUUUCGAUUCUAUUUGGUUUUUACUCAAAAUAAAAAAAUAAUAAUAAUAAUAACUAAACCAAAAGUUUUUAUUAUUUUAAAUUAAUAACCGAAACUGGUUCAAACUAGUUAUUUUAGUUCGGUUCAGUUAAUUGAAGGAAAAAACCGAUUUAAUAAAACUAUCGAGUGUUAAAUCCCCUGCUGCGAAUCACUUCAUUCUAAUCCAGAAAUAGCAUAUUAUCCCGAACGUAAAUAAUAGGAGUAAUAGCAUAAAAAGGAAGGAAAAAAAAACAUAUUUUCUCCCGAUGGAAGCGUAAGUUUCUUCAAUAGGCUUUGUCCAUUGCAGAAGUGUUCCACCAGCGUCCAACAAUAAUGCAUCAUAUGCUUUUUUAACAUACUUUAUUGCUCCUGUAAUGUAAUGAAACAAAGUGAACGAAUCUGAUCUAUUGAAAUAGUGUACGCAUUUAUAUAUAUGUACUAAUAAAUAAAUAAAUAAAUAAAGCACUAAGUAGAAAGGAAAAGUGACCAGACCAGCAGAGUGGAUGGCAAUGGAAGAAGAGCUUGAUAGCUUCAAUUUGAUAGGUUUCAGAGCUUUAAGCAAAUAGUUCCCAUGACAUUGGCCAAACGGGAAAUGGAGAUUUAGGAAUGGAAUUGAGCAAAAUAAAAGAAAGAUAUACCUUUAAAGAUUGCUAGAUACCUUUGUUUUUUCUCGAGACUUUGAACCUUAAAACUGGAGAAGACAAGAAACCAGAGAAGGGGAGAUGCGAGAACUGAGAUAGAGAGAAAACCUGGAGGAGGGCGGCGGCUGGGUUUGACUUGGCCUUUAGAGUUAGAAGAAAAGUUUAUAUUUAUACUGUUUUUCUUUCAGUGGUGGUUUUCUUGCUCACCCCUAAUUACCAUGUCGUGGAACAAAUUAGGAUAAGAGUUGUAUUGAUCUCAAAUAAGCUGAUGCCGUCGUACCAGAGAGCUCAUGAAGAAAAAAAUUGAGGAGUUCCAGUGAAGAUGAUACGCAGAAUAAUCUUGAAUUUAGAACAGUACUAGUUGGCAAAGAAGGAACAAAACUGAAAUGCAUGGUAAAUGAUUUAAAAUUGUGAGAAAGAAAUCGGGAUUCAAUGAUUUUGUUUUGAAUUUGAUGUUCUUAAUUCCUUUCUUCUUCCCCCGUGUCUCCAACCCAACGGUGUCUUGUUUCUGAGUAUGAAAGCAGGAUUCAAUGAUUUUGCUUUGAAUUUGCUGUAAUCAAAGCAAAAGAGGAACUGCUGGCUUGCCCUGAAACUAAGAAACUAAAACACGACAGCAUUUUGGAGAAUGGUGAAGCUGUUUGUGUGAAAUAGGUUAAGACUCAUUGUCCAGUGAGGACUUCAACAUUUGGCAAAUGAAUAUCACUUCGAGGAUAGAACAGAUACGAGGAAUAAAGCUAAAAACCGCAACUUUGCUUGACUUUUUCAUAUCUUCAAUCAUUUUUUCUUGGAACUCCACUAACAAUUGAAAAUGGCCAAAAUGCAUGAAUGAGGCCUUGAUACUGUGUUUGUCUCAUCUCUUUGUCGAUGCUUUAUUCUUGUCUGUACAUGUGAUUUAACAGGUAGACUAAAGCUCCUUUCUCCAAUGUAUUCCAUUCCUUAAGAUGCCAUUGAAGUCUUCCAUUCAUUUAUGAUUCCUUCUUCAUAUUCCUUAAUCAAUGGUGUUAGAUAUUGUUCUCAGCUUUUCUUACGAUGGUUAUUGACAAUUUAUCAUAAGGAGAUCUAAUGGCUGAAAAGCAAGUAACCAAGGAUGGAUAAUUAUUCUACACGCUACUAUAAAUUGAUCUAAAGGUCUUCAGACAGUAACCCUUUCCCCGAUUUCUUCUGUUCAUCUUUUACGACCACUAAUCAUUGCAUGCCUUGCUAGUUGUAUGAUCAAACAAUUGCUGGCCAGGUUACGUACUUUCUUGUGAUCCUUUUGAGUAUUCUCUUUCGCAAUCACUUGAACAUAUUGCUGGCCAUGCCGUUUCUCUUCGAGUUCAGAGAUCUCAGAUUAGAUUCUUCCAAUUUAACUUUCUUUUGCUUUUGGGUUUAUCUUUUAUGACUUCUCAUUGCUGCGUGACAUAUUUCUUGUGGAAUCUUUAAGUGUUGUGUGCAUUAGCAGAAAAUAAAAGGAAAAAAAUAAUCUUGACACGAUCCCAACGAAGAAGAGUUGAUUGCAAGAUUGUGGUCUGGGAAAAAAACUGAUUUCUUAAGCAAUAACGAUCUCAAAUUAACUUGCCUAAUUAUUGUAAUGCUAUCCGAUUGUAAUUCGCUGUGGUGAAGCUAUGCUUUCAUGCAUCAAAUUUUAUGCCAUUUGAUCACAGAGCAUACCGCUUGAUAGGCUAUGAACUCUAGAUUAAUAAAGUUCAGCAAUAUUCUUGCUCUGGUAGUCUAGGUCUACUUUAGCCAUGGAGACAAUAUAGUUGUGAAGUAAAUGAUUAGAAAGAUGAGAGAAGCAGAGUACUACACUAAUUAUAAGACUUCAUUAAAACCACACCAGAGGCCACAGACAUGGCCAAUACAUAACAAUGAAGAAGACACAAAGAUAAAGACACUCACGGACACUUUUGUUUGUUCACUCCACACCCACAAGUACAGAAGAACACAGAUUAUUUAUCAGAAAUUACAUUAUUAAUCCACUCCCAAUCCCACAUCAAACAUGAUAGUUGAUGUGCUUGCUUAAUGACCGCAUGUGCAGGUAGUGCAAGUGCAGCCAGUACCGCAGUUGCACUUGCCAUCGUUCUCAGCUGCUGGCACCUCCAUGACUACGGAGGAGACAUAGCUGCAAAAAGAAUUAGACUCCAUUGUAUUAGCAUCGUGUUCCCAUUUCCUUCAUUAUCAAUCUUAACUGACGAACCAAAAAUGUUUAGGAAUAAAGCAAUAUAUAUUAUUCAUUCUGCUUAUUAAUCAUCAGUGCAUGCUGAAGCUUCAAUCAUGUCUCUCAACGCUAAUUAAGACUACGACAACAGGACUUUAAAGAUAGAGAUGCGAAAGUUACUUCUUCUCAGUCUCGACGAUGCCAGCAGUGUAGCUGCUUCCCUUCUUGCUGCAAAUUAAUCACAAAUUGCAUGGCAUGAGAGAGCAGAUAGCAUAAUGUAUGCACGAAAGCCAUGCAGAAACAUGAACUACCUACUAUACAGCUUGCACAACAUAUAUAAACCAUAAACAAGCAAGAGCUGCUUAAUCAGGUUUGCAAAAGAAGGGGAAAAAAAGAAGAAGAAUUCUUACACACACUGGGUCUUGUCAGCGCAGUCGCAGGUGUCGCAGGUGCUAGACAUGAUGAUUGAUUGAUUAAGCUUAAAUGGAUGAACUAAAAGACUUGGAGUAUGAAUGUGUUCUCUGUGUAGCUUAAUGAGUUGUUAUAUCUUCAAGCCCUGCUCUAUUUAUAGAAGGAGAGAGCGCAUCAGUAAUGGCUGCGAUGAAGAGGAAGGGCAAUUGUGGGACCCUCUUAAGGCAUGAGAGAAGCACACUCUUCUCGAGGAAACGUCCGAAGGAAUCUUGA